rnacentral:lncRNA from 1 species
UUGCUGGUGCUUCGCAAGCUGCCCCGGCAAGGGCCUUGCCGGGGUUAUGCAAGCCGCCUCGGCAAGGGUGUUGUCGGGGGAGGUGCAGCUUGCCUUCUGCUCUCAUUCCACUGUCUUGAAUGCUUGUCUUGGUAGUAUUGUAUUAUGUUGCCUACUGCCCCGCCAAGCCCUACCGCCGGUGUGGCUACAACUGCCCAUGCACAAGUAAGGGGUACAGAAGAUCCCAUACUUUUGUACACCGACAAAAAAUGAUAUAAAAUGAUUGUAAAACAUCCAAGAAUGAUAAUAUAACAACAUGGAACAAUAAAAAUUAUAGAUACGUUGGAGACGUAUCAGGCCCUUAGGUCUACAAAGAACUACUCACGCAUCAUUGGAGAGGCACCAAUGAACAUGAUGAACCUCUCCGAGAUGGUAUCUAAAUUGGAUCUGGUGUUUCUGGAACUUGCGGCGGAUGGAAUUGAUUUUCAUCGACUCCCCUAGGGUUUCUGGAAUAUUGGGGUAUUUAUAGAGCAAAGAGAUGGUGCGGUAGGCCACCGAGGUGGGCACAACCCACCUGGGUGCACCUGGGCCCCCAGGCACGCCCUGGUGGGUUGUGCUCCCCUCGGAGCUCCCCUAACGUACUUUCUUGGCCCACUGGAUGUCUUCUGUUCCAAAAAAAACCACAAGAAGUUUCGCUGUGUUUGGGCUCCUUUGGUAUUGAUUUCCUGCAAUGUAAAAAACAAGCAGAAAACAGCAACUGGCACUUGGCACUAUGUCAAUAGGUUAGUACCAAAAAAUGAUAUAAAAUGAUUGUAAAACAUCCAAGAAUGAUAAUAUAACAACAUGGAACAAUCAAAAAAUUAUAGAUACGUUGGAGACGUAUGAUCUAGUUGUUGUCCUAUCAUAUCCGAAGGAAUUUCAUAACCAAAAAUUUUCAGUAGGUGCAGUAGGUUGAGGGGUAACUAAUUAUGGUUCCGGUCAAGGUGAAGAUACCCUGAACAAACCCCUCAAAUGAUUGUUUUCCAUAGUAACAAGUGACAAUAAAUUUCAGCACGUAGUAAUAAUUUUUCCUUACCGAUUUCCACUUACCAAGAGCGCUUCACUCCCCGGCAACGGUGCUAGAAAAGAACCUUGAUGACCCACAAGUAUAGGGGAUCAAUCGUAGUCCUUUCUAUAAGUAAGAGUGCCGAACCCAACAAGGAGCAGAAGGAAAUGACAAGUAGUUUUCAGCAAGGUAUUCUCUACAAGCACUAAAAUUAUAAGUAACGAGUAGUUUGAUAGCAAGAUAAUUUGUAACGAGCAAGUAAUGGUAAUGGUAACAAAAGUGCAGCAAGGUAGCCCAAUCCUUUUGAGGCAAAGGAUAGGCCAAAAUAGUCUCUUAUGAUAAUUAAAACGUUCUUGAGGGUACAUGGGAAUUUCAUCUAGUCACUUUCAUCAUGUUGUGGUUUGUGUUCACUACUUUGAUAAUUUGAUAUGUGGGUGGACCGGUGCUCAGGUGUUGUUCUUACUUGAACAAACCUCCUACUUAUGAUUAACCCCCUCGCAAGCAUAUGCAACUACGAGAAAAGUAUUAAGAUAAAAUCUAACCAUAGCAUUAAACUUUUGGAUCCAAAUCAGUCCCUUACGAAGUAACGCAUAAACUAGGGUUUAAGAUUCUGUCACUCUCGCAACCCAUCAUCUAAUAACUACUCCACAAUGCAUUCCCUUAGGCCCUAAUAAGUUGAAGUUCCAUGUAGUCGACGUUCACAUGACACCACUAAGGGAAUCACAACAUACAUACCAUCAAAAUAUCGAACACAUAGCAAGUUCACAUGAUUUCUUGCAACAAGAUUUAUCAUGUGACCUCAAGAAAAAAAGUAACUACUCAUAAAUGAUAAUCAUGCUCAAGAUCAAAGGGGUAUUAAAUAGCAUAAUGGAUCUGAACACAUAAUCUUCCACCAAAUAAACCAUAUAGUAAUCAACUACAAGUUGUAAUCAACACUACUAGUCACCCACAAGCACCAAUCUAAGGUUCUGGUACAAAGAUUGAACAGAAGAGAUGAACUAGGGUAUGAGAGGACAUGGUGUUGUUGAAGAUGUUGAUGGAGAUUGCCCUCCCCAAGAUGGGAUAGUUGUUGGUGAUGAUUAUGAUGAUGAUUUCCCCCUCCGUGAGGGAAGUUCCCCCGGCAGAAUCACUCCAUCGGAUGGCAAAAGUGCUCCUGCCCAAGUUCCGCCUCGAGACGGCGACGCUUUGUCCCGAAAGUCCUCUCCUUAUUUUUCUAGGUCAAAAUGACUUAUAUACCAGAAGAGGGGCACCAGAGGUGGCCCGAGGAGGGCACAACCCACCAGGGCGUGUAUGGGCUCCCUGGCGCGCCCAGGUGGGUUGUGCCCACCUGGUGGGCCCCUCUGGUAGUUAUUUGCUCCAAUAAUUCUUAUAUAUUCCAUAAAAAAAUCCAUGAAGUUUCAGCUCAUUUGGAGUUGUGCAUAAUAGGUGGCCUGACAUAGCUUUUUCAGGUCUAGAAUUCCAGCUACCGGUAUUUUCCCUCUUUGUGGGAACCUUGCAUCUUAUGAGAGAAAAGGCAUUAGAAUUACUCCAAAAAGCAUUAUUAUACAUAAAACCAAUAUAAGUAAUAGUAGGAAAACAUGAUGCAAAAUUGAUGUAUCACGGCGCCACGAUUCGGACAACCCCGGGGAUCCACCUACCAACGCUGAGAACCAGUCGAAUCCUCUGUUGGACUUGCGCAUCUUUUCAGUGUGUGGACAAGAGGAGAAGAGGAGAGGUUGUGGUGCACGUAGCUAAGAUGGGGUUUGCUGGCAAGGCCAGCCUGCUUAAAUGGUCUGGCCAAGUGCAUCCGUGCUGCUUCAAUGUAGGUGCAGUGAGCGAAGUAGGCUUCUCAAUCACCGCAUUUGCAUUGAAAAAGUGUCAAAUAGUCGUCUGGUCACAACAGUUUGACCGACAUGAAUGCAUGCAGGCAGUCGCUGAGUCGCGUCCUCUCUAAGCGUAGAUAAAUGUGCACGAGGCUUUUGGAAUGGAACACGCAUUGAGGGUUUUGGGUUGGACCACAUUGUCAGAGUCAUACGUUGUAGACGUCCGAACUCCCUCAACCCCCUAGAUGUUUGCGAAUUUAGACGUGUGGAUUGGUCCGCGGAUGUUUAUUGCAUGUGUUGGAUGGCACAAAGUGUGUGAACCUGUUGUCUGGACGUUUAGCUGGGUUUCGAGGUACUGCAUUGGAGAUGCCUUAACGAUGGAAGUGAUUUCCAAGAAUCGGCUUUUGUGCAAAUCCUUGAUCCCAAACAAGGCAAACUCGUGGGUAUAUACAAUGAACCACUAUGUAUGUUGUUUUUUAAAAAACUGUCAGGGGGGAGACUUCCCGCUUGAAUAUAUUUCAAAUUAAAAUAACAACAAAGUUUAGGUGAGAUGAGAGGAGAAAAAAUCCCCCCACAAGCUGGCAUGGAUUUUUGGUUUGUCUUUUUUAAGGCGUGAGACCAGAGAGUGGGGUCUGAGAUUAUGGAGCAGGUUACAUCAUUGUGAGAGAGGUGCUCAUCCUUAAAAGUCGCAGCAUUACGAGCAUCCCAAAUUUUCCAUGGAAUAAGAGGAGAAGAAACGGCCAAACUAAGUUGGGCAGACCCAGGUGGAACGAUGAGUUCCACAACUUGGACAGAGGGGAUGAAAUCGACGGCAGUCCAAGGCCGUCCCAAAUAGCAGCAUACGUUGGGUAGCUGAAAAAUAAGUGGCCCAUGUCUUCCUAUGUUGCAUGGCGUCAAGGGCAUGACGGAGAGUCGAGGAUGGUCUUGCGAUGGAGGUUAGCCCAAGUGUUUAGUCGGUCUAGAUAGAACAGCCAACCAAACACCCGGACCCUGUUGGGAACUCAAAAGUCCCAAAUUGGACCAGGUUGGGGUCCGACAACUGUGAGGCAAGGGUGGCAUAGGCCCCUUUGGUAGAGAAUGCCUCACCAUUGAGCAAAGAGCACUCAUUUGGGGAUCCAUAGAAAUGAACAUCCUGCGGCAAAAGUCUCAAAGAAGCAAGUUCAUUGGAAGUAGUUAAGAUUAGUCGGCUACGUAAGUCAGAUCAAUCCCAUCCAUCAAUUAUUUUUUAACUAAAACAUUUUGGCUUUGUGUAGUGUGUAAACAGAGCUGGGAAGUAAGUGGAGAGAGGUUCUGGAGUUAACCAACGAUCUAGACAAAAGAAGGUGGAGGAGCCAUCACCAAUCUUAACAUGUGAGAUCUCUCUAAGAGUGUGAAGGUUGAAUUUUGUCUUACCAAGGAAGGAUGCAUUACUACCAAGGCCUAUAUGCAGGGGAGAGUGGUCGAGUAUCAAAUCCUUCCAAGGUAAUGGAGGAGACUGAAGGAAUUUGAAUGCAAGGGCUUUUGUAGGGCAGUUUUGGAGGGAGAAGGGUCUAAAAGCAUCUGGGGUAGGGGAGUUAGAAGAUUUGGGGAUUAGGACAAUGAACGCUCGGUUUACACAGGAGAUAUCCGACGACACGUUAUAGAAACUAAGAAACAUAUUAGAUGCCUUUUGUUUAAGUAUAGGGAAAAAUUUGCGGUAGAACAGAGAGCCGAAACCGUCCGGCCCGUGGCUGGCAAAAACGUUCAUGUCGGCAAAAGCAUCAUAAAUUUUUUGACCCGAGAAAGGAGAGUCUAGGUGCAAAAGUUGUGGCGUUUGCAGUGAGUAUAGGGCCAGCUAUUUUGAUAUGUGGCUUGUACAUAAGCUACAGUGAAAAUAAGGUCCCUGUAAAUAAGCCAUUCAAUUCUUUUUUGUUUCUGUUUGUUUAGCUUUGUUUCCUGAUAAACUAGUGAAAAGUCUGCGAUACCCUUGGAGGCAUCAUUCUGUCAGGUAUGUGAAUUAUUAUUUGCAUGUCGCAGGGACGACUUGUUCUAUUGGUUGAGUGAUGACAGUUUUGCUGUAAAUACAAUCAACGAAAAGGGCAAGGAGAAAUACCGCUUCACUUUUUAAAGGGUUGCGCUCGGUAAGCCGCCCUUCACUGGCUUAUCUCAAAUGUGAAGGAGGGGGUUAUCACUGAUAUUAAGCUAAUGGCACGUAAACGAGUUCUUUGGGGCUCGAACUUAUUUCCACCAUAAGCCUUCCAUAAGUGUGAAAAGAACUGAGCCUAGGUGUUGUAGCGAGAAGUUCCAAGUUAGUGAGAAAGUCGUUCCCAGAAUGGAGGAGUAGUAGGAAGUAAGAAUCUGGCAUUUUGCAUCAUGGGAUGUAAAAACUUGAUUAUCAUGAGAGAUGGAUUUUAUUUUAUUUUGUCCAUGCCUUUGAGAGGCAGAUGCAUGAAAGUACCAUGAGUUUUUGUCACCAUCAAUGGCAGUUUUUCUUACCCGAGCCGCCAGUAAAUUAUUUUUCCCGAACAGUUCUAUGAAGAACCUUAAUGACGACCCGCCUAAGGGCAAGUUCUAACAGAGAAAGGAAACAAGAUGUAUGUAUGUUCAUUAAGCGCAUUGGGUGUUAGUUCAUGAUUUUUUUUGGUUUGGAAACUUAACAUUCUAUAUUUGAGCAUAUGUUUGUUACUCAUGUAAGCAAGAUAAAAAAAUGUGGUGUAAAACUUUCCCAUGGAUCUUCUUGAUUCUUAUUUGGCUUUUGUCGACAAUUUUACGUGGAAUUUGUAUUCGUGAGGACAUUAUGUCAUGAUAACAAUAGUUUAAAGGGACACACAUUAUCCAAGUUUGUGUCCCAAGGUGGGUAAACCCCUUACUCCUUGCCUUGUUAAUUCAUUGUACAUUUGAAGAAUAUCGAAGAUUACAAUUUCAAGGGGUAUCCAACGGGUUGUGGUGGUGAUUUCUAUGAGAAACACCCAAAAUCACUAUGUGAUGUAUAGGGUAAAGCUAGGUGGAAAAGUACCCCCUUCUACAUUGUUGUUGCUGCCCUUUAUAUAGCUCCGGCAUGGAAAGCUCCAUGUGGUAAGAGUCCGACUAGUAUUUGAAAAGGACCCCCUUCUACUAGUGUUGUAGAGAGUUUCUCUUAGAUGUUGUGUAUUUGCAUGUGGCAGAUGUCGUCUCUGCGGAAGCGGCGACAUUACUUGAAGGUUUAAAGAUACUUCAAAGUAUGGGGGUGCAAUAAUGUCUUGGUGAGGAUGGAUAAUUCUUUGUGGUUGAUGCUAUAUAUACAUCUGAAUGAGGGACAUUCUAUGGUGGCGGCUCCACUUUUAGAUGAUUCCAGAGAGUUAUUACGAGAGUUCGGGAAGGUUACUAUUGAGCAUUGUAAUAGGGAACCAAAUGUAGUUGCUCGUGAUAUAGCUGAGUGGGGGCGUGAAAGCACCCCUUCUUUAUGGAUGGAUGCACCUCCGUGUACCAUUGCUAUUUGUUUAGCAGAUGAUGUAAGCAGUAUUUGAGAUUAACAAAGCUAGCCAUGAAGGCCUUCCCGUCAAAAAAGAAAGAAAUAAAGAUGCUGUGUAUUUGCAUGGAAAGUCUCCACCAGUCUCGAUGGAACUUCUCCUUCAUUUGAUGUCUUCUCUUUGGGCUCUAUAGGGUCCGCUGAUACUAUGUUGAUAGAGGCAUGUGAUACAUCUCAGUCGUACCUGCUCUUCCUAACACUUUUCCUCUUGUUUUGGAUUCUAAUUUGCAUGAUUUGAAUGAAACUAACCCGGACUGACGUUGUUUUCAGCACAACUACCAUGGUAUUGUUUUUGUGCAGAAAUAAAAGUUCUCAGAUUGGAAUGAAACUUUGCGAGGAUUUUUUAUAAUAAAAGAAAAUACUGGAGCCAAAAACCACCAGAGGGGGGGGGCCUGGGUGAGCACAACCCACAAAGGCGCCCCCCUCAGGCGCGCCCAGGUGGGUUGUGCCCACCUGGUGGCCCCAUAGACCUUGAUUCCAAUGAUGUAAAAUCCUAUUCUUCCAGAAAAAAAUCAGGGAGGAAGAAUUAUCUCGUUUCGCAACACGGAGCCGCCUCCACCUCCUGUUCUUCAUCGGGAGGCCAGAUCUGGAGUCCGUUUUGGGCUCCAGAGAGGGGGAUCAUCGAUCUUUGUCAUCACCAACCCUCCUUCAUCGCCAAUUCCAUGAUGUUCCACACCGGGAGUGAGUAAUUCCUUCGUAGGCUCGCUGGUCGGUGAGGAGUUGGAUGAGAUUCAUCAUGUAAUCGAGUUAGUUUUGUUAGGGCUUGAUCCCUAGUAUCCACUAUAUUCUGAGGUUGAUGUUGAUAUGACUUUGCAAUGCUUAAUGCUUGUCACUUUGGGCUCGGGUGCCAUGAUUUUAGAUCUGAACCGUUUAUGUUAUCACCAUUAUAUCUAUGUUGUAGAUCUGAUCUUGCAAGUCAUAUUCACCUAUUACGUGUUAUGAUCCAUAAACCCCAGAGUGACAAUAGUCGGGAUACUUUCCGGUGAUGAUCGUAGUUUGAGGAGUUCAUGUAUUCACUAUGUGUUAAUGCUUUGUUCCGGUUCUCUAUUAAAAUCAGGCUUUAAUAUCCCUUAGUUUUCAUAUGGACCCGCUGCCACGGGAGGGUAGGAAAAAACAUGUCAAGUUAUUUCCAUAAGCACGUAUGACUAUUUACGGAAUACAUGCCUACAUUAAAUUUAUGAACUGGAGCUAGAGCCGCAUCGCCCUAGGUUAUGACUGUUAUGAUGAAUAUCAUCCAAGGAAUUCACCGAUCCAAUGCCUAUGAAUUUCUCUUAUAUUGUUCUUGCUAAGUUACUACUGCUACUAUUAUUGUUACACUUGCUACAAAAUCAUUGCUAGCAUUGUUACUGUUACUAUUGUUGUUGCUACUACUAUCAAAACUAUCAUACUACUUUGCUACUGAUCACUUUGCUACAGAUAAUUAAUCUCCACGUGUGGCUGAAUUGACAACUUAGCUGCUAAUACUUGUGAAUAUUCUUUGGAUUCCCUUGUGUCGAAUCAAUAAAUUUGGGUUGAAUACUCUACCCUCGAAAACGGUUGCGAUCCCCUAUACUUGUGGGUUAUCAAGACCUUUUUCUAGCACCCUUGUCGGGGAGCAUAGCUAUAUUUUGCGAGUCACUUGGGAUUAUUAUCAAUUUAUCAGUAUGAAGAAUCUGAAGGAUACCAAGACUAAAUUAUUUCCAUCUAAGAUGAGGGGAGGUAAGGAACUGACAUCUAGCUCUGCACUUGAUUCACCUUCUAUUUUGAGUAAACUUGCAACACCACCACAUGCUAUUAAUCCUAAUAUGUCGCAAGUUAUUGAUGAUGCUACUUCUGCUAUGGAUAAUGCUUAUGAUGAUGCUAGUACCUUGCUUGACGAUGGUGUGCCACUAGGUGAUUUUCUUGAUGAACAAAUUGCUAGACCUAAAGAGAAUGAAAUUACUAAAACUGAUGAAAUACCUGAAUCUGAAAAUCUUGAGACACCUAUUAGACCUAGUCCUCCGAGAUAUGAAUUGCCUAAGAUACCGGAAGGUUAUGUUAUGGUUGAGGAGACAACUAGAGUCUUUCUUGCUUGCAAUGAUAGAGAUGAUCUUAAGAAAUUACUAUGCAAACUGAAAGAAAAAUCUCUGAAUGCUAGAAUGAAAUGUGAUCCUAAGUUUGCUACUUCACCUAUCUUUGUUGAUGAUAAGGAUUAUGAAUUCUCUGUUGACCCAGAGUUAAUUACUUUGGUUGAAUCUGAUCCUUUCCAUGGUUAUGAAACUGAAACUGUUGUGGCACAUCUUACUAAGCUGAAUGACAUAGCCACCCUAUUUGCUCAUGAUCAGAAAAUUCGCUACUAUUAUAUUCUCAAAUUAUUUUCGUUCUCAUUAAAGGGUGAUGCUAAGACUUGGUAUGAUACUCUUGCCCCUGGUUGUGUGUGUAGUCCCCAGGAUAUGAUUUAUUACUUCUCUGAAAAAUAUUUUCCCGCUCAUAAGAAACAAGUUGCCUUACAGGAAAUAUUUAACUUUGUGCAAAUUGAAGAAGAGAGUCUCCCACAAGCUUGGGGAGGCUUCUCCAAUUGUUGAAUGCUUUGCCUGAUCAUCCUCUUAAGAAAAAUGAAAUACUUGAUAUCUUAUAUAAUGGACUAACCGAUGCUUCUAGGGACUUCCUAGAUAGUUGUGAUGGUUGUGUUUUCAGGGAACGAAUUGUUGAACAAGCUGAAGAAUUAUUGAAUAACGUAUUUAAAAAAUAUGAUGAUUGGACUCUUCCUGAACCACCGCCUAAACCUACUCUGAAGAAGAGGGGUAUCUUAUAUCUCAGUCCUGAAGAUAUGCAAGAGGCAAAGAAAUGUAUGAAGGAAAAAUGUAUCAAAGCUGAGGAUGUCAAAAAUUUACCUCCUAUCGAAGAAAUGCAUGGGCUUGAUACAUCACCACCCAAGGUGGUAGAGGUAAACUCUUUAAUGAAAUUCAAUGAUAAUGACAAUCCUUAUAAUAUGCAUCCUAGUUAAUGCCUUUAUGAGUUUGAUAACUACAUUAUAAAACAAGAUCACUACAAUGCAAAUGUUAUGAAACAAUUGAAAUACAAUUCUGAUAUGAUUGCUCGCUUGAGUGACUUGUUAUUUAGAAUCUCAAAUGAUGUUAGAGGUGUAGGAAAACACGCCUCUAUGGUUCAAACUCAACUGGAACAAGUUGAUAAAUCUCAAAGAGAAUUGCUUGAUGAAAUGAACAAUAAUAUAAAUGAUUUUGCUGUUAGAGUAGCAACUAGGGGAGGUAAAAUGACUCAGAAACCACUUUAUCCUGAGGGACGACCAAAAAGAAAUGAACAAGAUUCUCAAAGAAUUAACACUGAUGCACCUAGUUCCUCUAAAAAGAGAAAGAAAAACAAAAAUGAUAGGACUUUGCAUACCUCUAGUGAACUUGAGAUAGAAAAACUUCCUGAAGCUAAUAAUGAUAUUUCUAUUUCUGAUGCCGAAACUCAAUCUAGUCACCUAGUGAUAAUAAAAAGAUAAUGAUGAGGUUCAUGAAGGCACUCGAACAAACAAUGAAGAACCAAAUAAUGAUGUUGAAAUAGAACCAGCUGUUGAUCUUGAUGUGUAGCGACCCGACCCGAAUGGAUCAAGUCUCUGUGCUCCGAUGUCAUCCCUGGAUCAGUAAUGCUGACACCACACAGUACUUCGAAGGAUUUAUAGCAGAGUAGCAAACACACACUUAUUACAUCGUUUAUCCAGAAGAGGACUUAUUACAGUAAUCAUGGCUUAAGGCCAUCUAAUAACGAUAACAGCGGAAGACUUGGAAGAUAAGUGAGUCCAACAACUCCAACGGCAUCACUGAGUAUAGAACCACGACCUAAAAGCACCUUAUUCGUCGUCUGAAAAGUCUGCAACAUGAAAAGUUGCAGCCCAAAAACGGGUCAGCACAUGGAAUAUGCUGGCAAUGUAACACAUAGAGAGAGGUAAUGAGUAUUGGCUAUACUACAUGCAUAUUUGGCUGGUGGAAAAGCUCUAUGGUUACAGUUUUUGCAUAAAGCCAGUUUUUCCCUACUACAAAGGAAUAAAUUUAUUUAACUAUCAUGGUAGUUGUUAAACAUUGAGAAUGGUUGACAGCAUUCUCAAUCCCAAUUAAAAGUACUCAUUAGAAACCCACCAAUAUUAAUUAGAAGUAACAUGUUGAGAUCCACAUGAUAUUCAAGUACUAGAUACUCAAGAUGUCCAUAACCGGGGACACGGCUAAUCAUGAUUAGUUUGUACACUCUGCAGAGGUUUGCGCACUUUUCCCCACAAGACUCGAUCGCCUCCGUUUGGUUUCUCGCACUACAUGGUGUUUAAGAAACGGAUGACCGAGACAUAGUCUUUCAGAAGCGCUAGCACCUUACGAUGGGUGGACCGGUACACCUACAUCCCCUACAUCUGCUAGUCCACCACUAUAAGAGUUUGCACGACUUAGUCAACUAUGCCAGAGCCCAUAAUGGCUUGUGGCUGCACACGUAAGUUACUAGUAUGAAUUAUCUUAUGAUCCCUUUGAGCCUGGGUGGCGGUCCAUAGGAAAAUCACACGGUACCCCGGGAUUUCCAAAAAAACAGGCAAGUCCUGGUAACUCCAGGUGCCUCAAUCCACCCAGAUGUGUAUUUAAGUUGCCACCUUAGAUAAACCUUUAAUUAACAAACUCACAUCUGUCAUGGAUAUUCACUCACCCAAUCCACGUCUACUAGCAUAGCAUGGCAUAAUAAGCAAACGUAGAAGUAACUCCCAAAGGUUUCAUAAGUAAAAUAGGUAUUAGGUACUACCUCAUCUACUUCCCAUCCCACAAUUUAAUUAGAUCCUAAUCAUGCAAUGUUUGAGGAUUGAUCUAAUGCAUAAAAACUGGGUUGUAGAAAAGGUAUGAUCAAAGUGUUACUUGCCUUGCUGACGAUACGCGAAACCUAAAGACUCGAAGUAACAAGCGGCGCACUCCGGGUGAUCUAUCGCAGACAAACAACAAGCAUACAAUAAGUACUCAUCUAAUGCACAGGUAAAUCUCGAAUAAAAGAUCUAACUAGAAAGUUCAACUUAAGAACUCUGGUGGCAAAAGAAUCAAAUCAAAAGCAACGAAAGUCAAACGGCGAGGGAAAACAACUCGGUUCUAGCAAGUUGAAUCUAGGUCAAAUUUUACAGUAGCAAAACUUUGUUUAAGUUGAUUAGCCGGAACGGCGGUUUCGAGAUGAAACUCCAGGCGUUUGAAUCACCUGAUUCCGAUAAACGAGCGAGAAGAUAGACUAGAAAGAAAAUCGGAUCUGAAAUCGCUAUCAGAAAAAUAGCGGAAUAAAUCCGAUGAGAAAGAAAACGACGAACGGUUGAACAAACGGGCGUUCAUUAACCGAGGCAAACCGGUGAUCACAUUCGUUAGGACGAACAGUCCGGCGAACGCUUGCUAAACAAAACCGGAAAGAAAAACCGGCGAGAAAAACCGAUCUAGGGUUUCGGAAAGAAAACCGAAACGUAAAACCGAUCUAGAAAACCGGAACGGAAACCGGAACGAUUUACGAAAAACCGAACCGAGGAAAAGAAAAGGUGACGCGGCGCGGGGCUAGUACCUCGAAGAGGCGAGGGGCUCCGGCGGUGGCGGCACUAGGCGGCGGCGGUGGCAAGCGGCGGUGGCGGUGUAGGGCGGCGGCGGUGGUGAGGGGCGGCGGUGGUGUAGGGCGGCAACGGUGGUGAGGGGCGGCGGUGGUGGUGCUGCGCUGCUGCUGCGGAGGAGGAGAGGAGAGGAGAGGUGUUGGUUUGAUGUGUUGGACGGGGGGUGCUUGGGUAUUUAUAUUGGGGAGGGGAGGGUUUUGCUUGGAGUAGGGGACAAGAAUUAGACUAGGAUUAGGAAUCCUAGGAACAAAAAACGGAAAAAUGAAACGGGUCCAAAUCCUACUAGGAUUUGUAAAAGAAAAGGAAACCGGGGCGCUGGCUCCCUGGCUCCCUGGCGCGGCGGCGCUAGCGAUGGCCUUGGCCUCCUGGCCGGCGGCUGGCUUGGCGGCUUGGGCCUUUGGCCCAAGGCGCUACAGUUUUUUUUAAAUCGGUUUCGCGCGCAGAAAAAAAACAGAAAAAAAUCUAAACGAACUCCAAAAUUAAUAAAGUAAACUUCCCCCGACUCCUAAAAAUGAGUCGAACAAAAUGAACUUUACUCGGGGCCUAAAAUGCAAAUUUUUGAAAACACGCAUUUUUCCCUAAGGCAAUAAACUCCGAGAAAAAUCCAAAAUUUGAUUUAUUUAUUAAAUCUUCAUUUUUCCUAAAUUUUGGGAAAGUCAUAUUAUUCCCUCUCUUAUUUUUGAUAUUGGAAAAAUAUUUGAAGAUAGAAUAAAUAAAUCCAAUGAUCCUCUUUUCAUAGUUUUGAGAAAACUCAAAUACGAAAAUUUCGAAAUCUCCAACUCUCUCCGAGGGUCCUUGAGUUGUGUGAAAUUUCUAGGAUCAACAAAUGCAAGAAAAUAUGAUAUGCAUGAUGAUCUAGUGUAUAACAUUCCAAAUUGAAAAUUUGGGAUGUUACAAACCUACCCCCCUUAAGAUGAAUCUCGCCCUCGAGAUUCGGGUUGGCUAGAAAAUAGGUGAGGGUGGUCCUUGAGCAAAUCUUCUUCUCUCUCCCAGGUGGCUUCAUCCUCUGAGUGGUGGCUCCACUGAACCUUGCAAAACUUGAUAACCUUGCUGCGAGUAACUCUGCUGGCAUAUUCGAGAAUCCUAACUGGUUUCUCCUUAUAUGUUAAAUCAUCCUUCAACUGAAUUUCUUCAAGUGGCACUGUAUCUCUUAACAGUACUUCCGCCAUCUCGGCGUGACAUUUCUUCAGCUGGGAAACAUGGAAUACGUCGUGAACUCCUGACAGUCCUUCUGGUAAUUCCAACUUAUAAGCAACUUCUCCCAUGCGCUGCAAAAUCCUAUAUGGUCCAACGAAACGUGGUGCUAACUUUCCUUUAACUCCAAAACGCUUAACUCCUCGAAGUGGGGAUACUCUAAGAUAAACUCUGUCUCCAACUUCAUAUUCUAUCGCCUUGCAUUUUGAAUCCGCAUAGCUCUUCUGUCUGGAUUGGGCUACCUUGAGCCUGUCUCGAAUCAGCUUAACUUUCUGUUCAGACUCCUUGAUCAAAUCUGGUCCAAACAACUGACGGUCUCCAACUUCAUAACUGUUGUCAUGGGACGAAACUGUUAUCUGAUACGAUACUCCUUGGAACUCCGUGCAAACACACAAUUCUGGUCAUGUAUAUCUUUGCCAACUUAGUGCUGCUAUAGGUAGUCUUGACUGGAAUGAAAUGCGCUACCUUCGUCAAGCGAUCGACUAUAACCCAAAUCGAAUCAUAGCCUGAACAAGUCUUUGGCAAACCCGUGAUGAAAUCCAUGCCUAGUUUAUCCCACUUCCAUUCGGGUAUCGGCAAUGGUUGCAACAAUCCUGCUGGCUUCUGAUGUUCUGCCUUCACUCUCUGACAUACAUCACAAACUGCUACAUACUCCGCGAUAUCCUUCUUCAUUCCGGUCCACCAGAAUGUUUCCUUCAAAUCCAAAUACAUCUUGGUAUUUCCUGGGUGAAUCGAAUAGGGUGAAUCAUGUGCCUCUUGUAGAAUCAACUUCCUGAUCUCCGGGUCAUUUGGCACAUAUACACAGUCCUCAAACCAUAGGGUAUCGUGCUCAUCCUCACGAAAUCCCUUUGCUUUUCCUUCGCUCAUUUUCUUCUUUAUAUCCGCAAUCUCUUUGUCAUUUUUCUGAGCUUCUCUGAUUUUAUCCAUCAAGGUAGACUGAAUUUCCAAUGCUGCUACGUAGCCUCUCGGAACUAUUUCCAAACAUAGCUCACGAAGAUCUUUUGCUAACUCCUUUGGUAUUUCUCCCGUCAAUAGCGUAUUGACAUGGCUCUUGCGGCUCAACGCGUCAGCUACUACAUUAGCCUUUCCAGGAUGAUAAUGCAAUCUCAUAUCAUAAUCCUUGAUGAGUUCCAACCAUCUCCUCUGUCUAAGGUUUAACUCUUUCUGCGUGAAAAUAUACUUCAAACUCUUGUGAUCCGUGUAUACCUCACAAUGAUUUCCAAUGAGGAAAUGUCUCCAUGUCUUCAAUGCAUGCACUACGGCUGCUAACUCCAAAUCAUGUGUGGCAUAAUUUAAUUCAUGGGGUUUCAGUUGUCGUGAAGCAUACGAAACAACUCUUCCUUCCUGCAUAAGCACUGCUCCAAGUCCUCGACGUGAAGCGUCGCAAUACACCUCAUAAUCCUUGGUCUGAUCUGGCAAAAUUAGCACUAGUGAGGUAACCAAUCUUUUCUUCAACUCUUGAAAACUUGCCUCACAGUCCUCAGUCCAUAUGAACUUGGUAUCCUUCUUCAACAACUCCGUCAUAGGCUUUGAAACCCUUGAGAAAUUCUCAAUGAAUCUCCGGUAGUAUCCUGCGAGUCCAAGAAAACUCCGGAUCUCUCCAACUGUCGUUGGUGCUUCCCAAUUGGUAACGGUCUCAACCUUUGUGGGGUCAACUGCUAUACCUUCUCCGGAUAUAAUGUGUCCAAGAAAUCCAACUUCCUUUAGCCAAAACUCACAUUUGCUGAACUUGGCAUAUAACUGAUGUUCUCUUAGCUUCUCCAAAACCAAUUGCAAAUGUUCCUUAUGUUCCUCUUCAUUCUUCGAGAAAACCAAAAUAUCAUCAAUGAACACCACGACGAACUUAUCCAAAAACUCCAUAAACACUUUGUUCAUCAGGUUCAUGAAAUAGGCCGGUGCGUUAGUCAGUCCAAAUGACAUAACGGUGUACUCAUAUAGUCCAUAUCUUGUGGUGAACGCUGUCUUAGGUAUGUCCUGCUCUCGAAUCUUCAGUUGAUGGUACCCUGAUCACAAAUCGAUCUUGGAAAACACUUUAGCUCCUUGCAAAUGUUCAAACAGAUCAUUUAUCAUCGGUAGUGGGUACUUGUUCUUGACUGUUACUUCAUUCAAUCCACGAUAAUCAACAACCAUCCUUAACGAUCCAUCCUUCUUCUCCACUAAUAGUACGGGUGAUCCCCAAGGCGAAGAACUUGGGCGUAUAUAACCUUUAUCCAACAGCUCCUUAAUCUGCUUCUUGAUUUCCGCCAAAUCCUAUGCGGGCAUCCUGUAUGGUCGCUUUGAUAUCGGGCAUGUUCCUGGCAACAGCUCAAUCAAAAACUCAAUGUCUCUAUCCAGUGGCAUUCCUGGCAAUUCCUCAGGAAAUAUAUCAGGAUAAUCCUUCACUACCGGCACCUCUUCCUGCACAACUCCUGAUAGGCAAUUUACAUGAGCUCUCCUUGGCUCAUGCCGUGAUACAUACUUAAUCCUUCUUCCUUCUGGCGUUGUGAGCAAAAUCGUCUUACUUGCGCAAUCGAUGUUUCCUCCAUACAUCGACAGCCAAUCCAUACCUAGAACCACAUCCAAUCCUUGGGAUUCCAGAACGAUCAAAUCCGUCGGGAACACAUGCCUUCCUAUACUCAAUGGCACUUGAAAACAUCCUUGUCUGGCCAUGUACUCUGCUCCUAGCGAGCUUACUAGCAUAGGCGUUUUAAGAAUCUGAGUAGAUAGACUAUACUUCUCUACAAAUCCCCUUGAUAUGUAUGAAUGCGAUGCACCAGUAUCGAAAAGAACAAGUGCAGUAAAUGACUUAACCAAAAACUUACCGAUUACUGCAUCGGGCUGAUCUUCAACCUCCUCCACAUCAAUGUGGUUCACCUGUCCCCUGUUGAAAGGGUUUGGCUUCUUUCCAGAGCUUCCAUUUCCACCUUGGCCUUCGGGACACUCACUUGCAUAAUGUCCGGUCUUGGAACACUUGUAACAGGUGACAUGGCUCAAGUCUUUCUUGGAUGGGGUUGUUGGUGGGGUCCGGUUCUGGCCGUUGCUUCCUCCAUUCCCAUUACCAUUCUUGUGGCCAUUAUGGUUGUACGAACUACUUCCUCCAUGGGUAUGCUGAAACUGCACUCCCUGUUUAGGGGUAUAACGGGGCUUCUACUGGGCUCCAGAGUUAAACUUCCCCUGCCCAUACUUCCUCUUGCGAUUUUCAAUCUGCUGCUGCUUUCCUUCAAUCAUGAGGGCGGGGUCUACCAACUCCUGGUAGUUAUUGAAUCUUGCUACCAUCAACUGCAGGCUUAACUCAUCAUUCAGUCCUUCCAGAAACUUCUCCUGCUUAGCUGCGUCUGUAGCAACGUCAUCUGGGGCAUAACGUGCUAACUUACUAAAAUCAUCCACAUACUGGUCAACAGUCCUUCCUCCUUGGCGUAAGUUGCGAAACUCACGCUUCUUCAUGGCCAUAGCUCCUGCUGAAACAUGGGCAGUGCGGAAAGCUUGCUGAAACUGAUCCCAUGUGACAGUGUCUACAGGGUAAGUGGCUGUGAAAUUCUCCCACCAUGCUGCUGCGGGUCCAUCAAGCUGAUGUGCAGCAAACUUCACCUUCUCACCAUCUGUGCAUCCUGCAGUGGUCAACUCCCGUCCUAUCUUGCGGAGCCAAUCAUCUGCUACAAUCGGCUCGGUGCUACUAGAAUACACCGGUGGAUGCAGCCUAAGGAAACGAGUCAAGUGAUCCCCAGGUGGUGGUGGUGGUGGGUUGUUGUUGUGGUUGCCUUGGUUCUGUACCAAUGUCUGAAUCAAGGUAUUCUGCUGCUGAAUCAACUGGGUGAUCUUUGGCGGAAAAACAAACUCGGGGUCGCGUCUCAGAGGCAUCUGAAGGGUUUAGAAAAGACGAGAAAUUAAGAAAAGAGUGGGGUCUAGGGAGAAAACACUACCCGAAUGCUCAUGAGACAAUUGCACACAAAAUCACUUCAUUCAUUCAAACAAAGGGCAUACAACGGUCUAACUAUCGCAAAAGUGCGUGUACUAUAAUGUUUACAUGGAGGGAAUACUAAUGUAUGGUGGUCAUCUAUUAAUUUGAACCAGUGGAAGACUCCAUGAUGUCUGCUCCAGCUUCGUCUUCAAAGUCGGGCUCGCUUGGAUCCGAAUCGGUGUCAUCGAUGAUGAUGUAGUUGCUCGGACAGUCGACGUACUUGUCUUCAUUCUUGAGCUCCAAUUUCUUCUUGAGUUCUUCAAUCUCAUACUUAAGAUCGUUAUUGUGCCUUGCGACAGCUAUGAUCUCGUCCAUGUAGUCCUUGCGUAGAGUCUUCAUCUCUCCUUCAAGUUCGAUGAUCCUUCCCUUUGCAUUCUUCAACUCUAUCAUAUCAUUGCACAUCUGGUUCUCCUGGCGUCGAAUGUGCUGGUUUAACUCUUGGAUGAAAGCUGCAAUGGAUCUAUCCUUCUUGGUGCUGACUAUCUCCCAUUGUUCAUUCCGGCGUCCACAAAUCUGGUAGAUAGUGUCCUUGAGGUCUUCUUGAUAAACUUCUCCAAUGCGUCCCAUGGUGAUAUGAGCUGCCAUGCUCUUUCCCAGACUCCAAGUUGGUGCACUGAAAACACUAUCUAUGGGCUUGGUGAUAGGGGCGAAUGUCCUUCCUGGAACAUGGGCUUGAAUCUUCCAGCACUCCUCUUCGGGCAGAGUGGCGUUAAAAGUCCCGGUGAAGCUUGGUAGUCCAAUGUUCAGGUACUUGGUGACUUCCUUCAAGUGAAAUCCAAAAGGUGUGCCUUCAUCCGGUUGAGCGUACUUAAUCUUCGCGUCCUUCAUCCUAAAGGAGUAGAAAAGAUGAGGAGUUAGAAAAUGAGAAGAGAAUGGUGAUCUAUGGCUUUAACUUAGUGGUCGUGUCCUACAGUCAGCGUGUGCUCUGAUACCAUCUCUGUAGCGACCCGACCCGAAUGGAUCAAGUCUCUGUGCUCCGAUGUCAUCCCUGGAUCAGUAAUGCUGACACCACACAGUACUUCGAAGGAUUUAUAGCAGAGUAGCAAACACACACUUAUUACAUCGUUUGUCCAGAAGAGGACUUAUUACAGUAAUCAUGGCUUAAGGCCAUCUAAUAACGAUAACAGCGGAAGACUUGGAAGAUAAGUGAGUCCAUCAACUCCAACGGCAUCACUGAGUAUAGAACCACGACCUAAAAGCACCUUAUUCGUCGUCUGAAAAGUCUGCAACAUGAAAAGUUGCAGCCCGAAAACGGGUCAGCACAUGGAAUAUGCUGGCAAUGUAACACAUAGAGAGAGGUAAUGAGCAUUGGCUAUACUACAUGCAUAUUUGGCUGGUAAAAAGCUCUAUGGUUACAGUUUUUGCAUAAAGCCAGUUUUUCCCUACUACAAAGGAAUAAAUUUAUUUAACUAUCAUGGUGGUUGUUAAACAUUGAGAAUGGUUGACGACAUUCUCAAUCCCAAUUAAAAGUACUCAUUAGAAACCCAACAAUAUUAAUUAGAAGUAACAUGUUGAGAUCCACAUGAUAUUCAAGUACUAGAUACUCAAGAUGUCCAUAACCGGGGACACGGCUAAUCAUGAUUAGUUUGUACACUCUGCAGAGGUUUGCGCACUUUUCCCCACAAGACUCGAUCGCCUCCGUUUGGUUUCUCGCACUACAUGGUGUUUAAGAAACGGAUGACCGAGACAUAGUCUUUCAGAAGCGCUAGCACCUUACGAUGGGUGGACCGGUACACCUACAUCCCCUACAUCUGCUAGUCCACCACUAUAAGAGUUUGCACGACUUAGUCAACUAUGCCAGAGCCCAUAAUGGCUUGUGGCUCCACACGUAAGUUACUAGUAUGAAUUAUCUUAUGAUCCCUUUGAGCCUGGGUGGCGGUCCAUAGGAAAAUCACACGGUACCCCGGGAUUUCCAAGAAAAAAACAGGCAAGUCCUGGUAACUCCAGGUGCCUCAAUCCACCUAGAUGUGUAUUUAAGUUGCCACCUUAGAUAAACCUUUAAUUAACAAACUCACAUCUGUCAUGGAUAUUCACUCACCCAAUCCACGUCUACUAGCAUAGCAUGGCAUAAUAAGCAAACGUAGAAGUAACUCCCAAAGGUUUCAUAAGUAAAACAGGUAUUAGGUACUACCUCAUCUACUUCCCAUCCCACAAUUUAAUUAGAUCCUAAUCAUGCAAUGUUUGAGGAUUGAUCUAAUGCAUAAAAACUGGGUUGUAGAAAAGGUAUGAUCAAAGUGUUACUUGCCUUGCUGACGAUCCGCGAAACCUAAAGACUCGAAGUAACAAGCGGCGCACUCCAGGUGAUCUAUCGCAGACAAACAACAAGCAUACAAUAAGUACUCAUCUAAUGCACAGGUAAAUCUCGAAUAAAAGAUCUAACCAGAAAGUUCAACUUAAGAACCCUGGUGGCAAAAGAAUCAAAUCAAAAGCAACGAAAGUCAAACGGCGAGGGAAAACAACUCGGUUCUAGCAAGUUGAAUCUAGGUCAAAUUUUACAGUAGCAAAACUUUGUUUAAGUUGAUUAGUCGGAACGGCGGUUUCGAGAUGAAACUCCAGGCGUUUGAAUCACCUGAUUCCGAUAAACGAGCGAGAAGAUAGACUAGAAAGAAAAUCGGAUAUGAAAUCGCUAUCAGAAAAAUAGCGGAAUAAAUCCGAUGAGAAAGAAAACGACGAACGGUUGAACGAAUGGACGUUCAUUAACCGAGGCAAACCGGUGAUCACGUUCGUUAGGACGAACGGUCCGGCGAUCGCUUGCUAAACAAAACCGGAAAGAAAAACUGGCGAGAAAAACCGAUCUAGGGUUUCGGAAAGAAAACCAAAACGUAAAACCGAUCUAGAAAACCGGAACGGAAACCGGAACGAUUUACAAAAAACCGAACCGAGGAAAAGAAAAGGUGACGCCGCGCGGGGCUAGUACCUCGAAGAGGCGAGGGGCUCCGGCGGCGGCGGCGUUGGGUGGCGGCGGCGGCACUAGGCGGCGGCGGUGGCAAGCGGCGGCGGCGGUGUAGGGCGGCGGCGGUGGUGAGGGGCGGCGGUGGUGUAGGGCGGCGGCGGUGGUGAGGGGUGGCGGUGGUGGUGCUGCGCUGCUGCUGCUGCGGAGGAGAGGAGAGGAGAGGUGUUGGUUUGAUGUGUUGGAGGGGGUGCUUGGGUAUUUAUAUUGGGGAGGGGAGGGUUUUGCUUGGAGUAGGGGACAAGAAUUAGACUAGGAUUAGGAAUCCUAGGAACAAAAAACGGAAAAACGAAACGGGUCCAAAUCCUACUAGGAUUUGUAAAAGAAAAGGAAACCGGGGCGCUGGCUCCCUGGCGCGGCGGCGCUAGCGAUGGCCUUGGCCUCCUGGCCGGCGGCUGGCUUGGCGGCUUGGGCCUUUGGCCCAAGGCGCUACAGUUUUUUUUUAAAUCGGUUUCGCGCGCAGAAAAAAACAGAAAAAAAUCUAAACGAACUCCAAAAUUAAUAAAGUAAACUUCCCACGACUCCUAAAAAUGAGUCGAACAAAAUGAACUUUACUCGGGGCCUAAAAUGCAAUUUUUUGAAAACACGCAUUUUUCCCUAUGGCAAUAAACUCCGAGAAAAAUCCAAAAUUUGAUUUAUUUAUUAAAUCUUCAUUUUUCCUAAAUUUUGGGAAAGUCAUAUUAUUCCCUCUCUUAUUUUUGAUAUUGGAAAAAUAUUUGAAGAUAGAAUAAAUAAAUCCAAUGAUCCUCUUUUCAUAGUUUUGAGAAAACUCAAAUACGAAAAUUUCGAAAUCUCCAACUCUCUCCGAGGGUCCUUGAGUUGCGUGAAAUUUCUAGGAUCAACAAAUGCAAGAAAAUAUGAUAUGCAUGAUGAUCUAGUGUAUAACAUUCCAAAUUGAAAAUUUGGGAUGUUACACGAUGACCCACAACCCAAGAAUAAACGAUAUGGUAAAAGAGACUUUGUCGCUAGGAAACACGGUAAGGAAAGAGAACCGUGGGUUCAAAAACCUAUGCCCUGUCCACCUAAAUCAACUUAGAAGAAAGAUGAUGAAGAAUUAGAAUGCUUUGCUGAAAUGAUUAGGUCAGUCUUUUUACGUACCCGCUUGACUGAUAUUUUAAAGAUGGCCCCUUACGCAAAGUACAUGUAAGACAUUAUCACCAAUAAGAGAAAAAUACCGAAAGCUGAAAUCUCCACCAUACAAAAUUAUUCUUCUAAGGAUGGAGUACCUAAAAAACUUGGAGAUCCAGGAAUACCAACUAUACCAUGCUCCAUCAAAAGAAAUUAUGUGAAAACUGCUUUGUGUGAUUUAGGAGCCGGUGUUAGUGUUAUGCCUUCCUCUUUAUACAAAAGACUUGAUUUGAAUAUACUCACACCUACUAAAAUAUCUUUGCAAAUGGCUAAUAAAUCAACUGCCAUACCUAUCAGUAUUUGUGAGGAUGUGCCCGUUAUUGUUGCAAAUGUUACUAUUUUGACUGACUUGUUAUACUUGAGAUACCCGAGGACGACAACAUGUCGAUUAUCCUUGGUAGACCCUUUUUGAAUACUUCAGGGGCUGUUAUUGAUUGCAAUAAAAGCAAGGUCACUUUUCAUAUCAAUGGUAAUGAGCAUACGGUGCACAUUCCGAAGAAACAAUUCCAAGUGAAUGGUAUAAAUGUUAUUUAAAAAUCUCCGACACUCACUAUUGGAAGUUUUCAAAUACCUCUACCUACUGCCAAAAAGAAAUAUGAUAUACUUAUUGUUGGGGACAUGCAUAUCCCCGUUGAGGUAACUGGGUGUUUUACAAAAGUUCUUCGGUUUCAUGCUAAUCGAAGGUGGUUGUUAAUAAGACUUGAUCAACCUUAUUAAUGGAUCACUUUUGGGAGGUAUCAAGUUGAUGAAUCUAGUAGGCACAACCUUCUGUCCUCACCUUUUAUUUUCUGUUUUCCUUAGUUAAACAAAAUACAAUGCCAUGUUUUUCCUGUUUUCUCGAUUUUCCGUGCAAAUAAAAAAUGACCCAAAAAUAAAAGUUCUCAGAAUGUCCUGAAAAAUUUAUAUGAUUUUUUCCUGGAUAUUUAAGAAUUUUUGGUGCAAAUAACAUCAGAGGGGGGUGCACCAGGUGGCCACAACCCACCUCGCCACGCCAGCACCCCCAAGCGCCCUGGUGGGUUGUGGUCCCCAUGUGCCCCCCUCACUUAUCUCUUUAGCCCAUGUCAUCACCUACCUCCAGAAAAAAAUCACCAUUGCUCCCUUUCUCGUGUUCUUGCUCUCAAACCCGCGGAUUUCAAUCUCUUUGCUCGAAGCUCCAUUUCCAAAACUGUAUUGGUGGAUUGCUACUUGGUAUGUGCCUCCUCCAUUGGUCCAAUUAGUUUUUUCUUUAGUAGUUUAUAUUUGGAAUAAUUAGCUACUCUUGGUGAUGCUGUAGAUGAGCUUGCAUGUUGAAUUCUUAGAGUUCUAAGUAGUUUGAAUGCUUAAUAUAGCCUCUAUGCAUGCCUAUGAGUGGUUACUAUCAAUCUUGUGAAGUUUUGUUGAGAAAAAAUUUGUGGACUAAAAAUUUCAGAAUCUUGUUCAUAGGAAUAAGAUGAGUUUCUUUAGGAAAUUUUCUUCCAAGAAGAACUCCAAGGGAGUUGUGGGUGAAUCACCGGAUAGUGACCUCCAAACUUAGAGAAUGGCAGAAGUGCGGCCAUGUGAAUGGCCACAGAACCCCUUCAUGGAUGGAGUCAGAAUCCAUUAAGAGUUCGCACAAUUUGCUGCCAAUGUUGGCCUCACCGACUUCAUCGCAACUGAGUGUGAACAAUAUAAUCUCCUUACAAAUUCCUUUGUGCAAAGUUUUCAUUUCCUAAGUAGGAAUAACCCCCUUGAGGUGCGGUUUAAUAUAUAUGCUGAAAUCCAUCAUAUACCACUUACUGAAUUUUGUGAUAUAUGCUUGCUCCCUUCUGAUGGGGAAAUAAGAGAACCUAGGCCUGCAGAGUUUGAGGGCUUUUAUCGCACUCUGUCAGUGGGAGAUGAGAGAGGGGUGUCGAGUGUCACCGCCACUAGCUUGUAGUUUCCUUCAGUGCAUUAUUUUACUCUAUUCAUUGCGAAGUGUCUACUUGCUAGGGAGAAGGUUGGUGCACUUAGUGCCCCCUAUUUUGUUGUCUUACGCCGCGCACUCUAUGGCGAUAACACUUGUAUCUUGGGAGCUAUUGUGGCACGUCGCCUUCACCUUAACAGGUCCAACGGUAAAAUUCUUGGUGGUAUUUAUGUGACUCGUUUAGCGAGCCAUUUUAACAUUCAGAUUCGCCAGCAUGAUUACCGUUUAACCAAGGUUUAUUUAGAUCGCCAGGCUAUGGCAGCUCAUCAAUUUAUUGAUGGCGAGACCACUGCUAUUCCAAUUCCUUACAACCUAGUUUUUAGUGAGGAUACCCAUGAUAUUAUCUCGUUGCCUACUCCUACUUUUCUUGAUUCUAUUGCCAGUGGCGGAUACAGGAUCAUGCGAGAAGACAUCGUCGCCUACCGGAACAACUAGGCAGCGGCUAAGGAGGAUCCUUAGGAGUGGGAUGCUCAGGUACCCGCUCCACAACACUUCAACAUAGGACCUGAUGGCUACUAUGAGUGGUGAUUAUCAAGUUAGGCCAAAAGCCUAAGCUUGGGAGAGUACAUAUUUCCACUUACAUUACAUUCAUGUUCACACAUUUCAUUUCAGUUGUCGGUGUCCACACUUUUUCAUUGUAUUAUCCAUGCUAGAUUUAUUUUCUCGCCUUCUUCUUGUGUGUUUGAAAAACUUUGAGGAACUCCAAAAAUGUUUCCUGCUUCUUUUCGGUUUUUCUUUCUAGUUUAAAUUAGUUGUAGUAUUAAAAGAAAACCCAAAAAUAUUUCUCGAUUCUUCUUCUUGUUUGUUGGGAGCUUUCAUGUGUAAAUAUUUUUUUCUCAUUUUUUGGUUUUCCUGUUUUAAUUUGCUUUCUUCUAGAAGAACUAAAAGCUCCAAAAAUAUUUUAGUGUGUUUCUCUGGAUUUAUUUUUUCCAUUUGUUGAGUCAUACCAAGGAGAAGACCAUGAUGAAAUUGUUGAGCGCCACUCAUAUGCAUUACUGUUGUUCUAACAAAGAGCCCAAAAUUUGUCUUCUCCUUUGAAUAAAAUGUUUGUAGAUUCCAGCUUAGAUCACGACACUCUUGCACUAUUAUUAUUUUCAAAUCAUUCGAUCGUGCAAGUGAAAGACAAUAAUGACAAUAUUCGGUGAACUGGUUGUGGGAGAGAGAAACUGGUAUGAACUCAACUUGUUCUAUUUUUGUACAUAUGUUUAACCUAGUAUCCAUGAUUCAGCAUAUUAUGAUCGAACAUGUUUGCAAUGAAAAUUAGAGAUUAUAGUUUCUCAUGCCAUGCUUAAGUAGCUAGGAGUGGAUGAUGAUUUAUCUUGGAUGUCAACAUUGCGUUAAAAUGAUUGUGAUGUAGUAUGAUGAUAUGGUAUCCUCCUCCGAAUGUUUGAGUGGCCUGACUUGGCACAUGUUCAUGCAUGUAGUUGAAUCAGAACAACAUAGCCUCUAUGAUAUUUAUGUUCAUGGUGUUCUAAUGAGGACAUCAAUACCAUUGUUACACCCAUAGCCCCUGCUACUAUACAUACUGGACUAAUUACUAGAGCUCGCGCACACCAAUUAAAUUACUAGGUACUUUCGUUUCUUGGUAAUGAUUCUAAUGUUCAUGACAAUAUGAUGCUACCUAAAUUGGAUACAUUGUUUUGCUUAAAAUGAAGGGCCUAGCUUGGAGAAGGAUGAACAUUGGAGCAAGAACAAGCACGAAGAUGAUGGCAUGCACAAGGGAAACAAGAACGGAGUUUCAAGUGAUGAUUUCAGGACUUUGAAGCCACUAUAAUGGGUGCAUGAAGGCUUGGACGAAAUAUACAAGAUGCCACUUCACAAAUUUCGUCUAGAGGCUAUUAUAGGUGUUGCAUCACCUUAUUAUUGGGCCAGGCCCAUGUAAUUUUUAAAUACAUAAGUAUAGGUUGUUUUUAGAGUCUGUAUGUGUGGGGAAACAAAGUUAGGGUUGGUUCCGGACCCCUCCUACAAGGGGUCAUGAAAUUCCCCCUACUGCUCCAUAUAUACAGCCCUUAGGGCGUCGUUCAGACUUUGGAUUUUGUUUAGAUUAAAAGUUCGCCAUAGCUGCAACUUCGCGUACUUCAUUUGUGUUCAAUGACCAGACCUAGACGUCACAGAUCCCCACCUUGAUCAAUAAAGCUUUCAUCUUAUAUUUGAAAUAUCCAGAUUGCAAUCUUAGUUUCUUGCUUGUUCUUCGUUUGCUUGCAGGAAAUAAACCAUCGUGGCCAGGUUGAUCGUGCUCCGGCGUGGUUGAUAACCCCUCGGAAGUUGGUUUAGUGAUUGCUAAGGCGCGACACCUCGCACGUUCAUAGUCGGAUCGUCAAGGUAGACUCCCACAGAAAAUGAUAGCUAUCUCAUUGAAACAUCGGGACACCCUCGCCUCUAUCAAGUGGUAUCAGAUUUCUAGGUUGCUCGGUGAGAUUUUACAGUUUUUUGUAGUUUAGAUCGAAUCUGUUCUUCAUACCUACAGUCCAUGAAAAAGCAAAAAAUUAAUAAUUAGGGUUAGUUCAUCAUAUCCGAACCAAUCUGAGCCUUCGCAUAAUCUUUUUAGGGUUUUGUAUUGUUGAAUUUGUGUUUGCAUCGUCGUGUCUAGUUGCUGGUCUUAGUGUCUAGUCCUUUAGAGUUUCGAGUUCUGUUCACAAGUUGUCACGGCGCCGCCGCACCAUCGUCAUCACCGCUGCCAUAUACCACCAUCGGCAUCAUCGCUGCCAUAUACCAGCAUCGUCGUCACCGCUGCCAUAUACCACCAUCGUCAUCACCACUGCCAUAUACCACCAUCGUCAUCACCGUUGCCAUAUACCACAUAUUCACUACCAUCACGAUAAUCUGAGUCCACCUCCCCGUCGUAGAUCAGCCACUAGUCUGUGUUCUACCGCCCUACAUAUAUUCGCCACCAGUCCAAGUUUCCACUAGAUUCAUCUCCGCCACCAGUCCUAGUCCGAGUCCAGUAUUUGUUCCUUUGUUUUCGAUUUCCAGAUCACGUCAUACUCUGAGUCGUGACCAAGUCGGACUACCCAACUUUAGUGCUAGCCGCAGUAGAAAAAUAGUUCCAGUUUCAAAAAGAACUAAGUCUGGAAAAUUCUGGCUAGGCAAUUUUUAGACCAUUUGUAGACUUCUUCAAAAAAAAUGUUGCGGAGCAAAAAAAGUGAAAAAAAUAAAAUAAGAGAUUCAGAGUGUGCUCCUCCCUUGUUUAUGUGCAGUGUGUGAUUUUGUUAGUGUUCUAGGCUCGCGUCUCUAGCACGGUCUAGCCUAGGACCAACACAGUACCGUUGUUGAGCGUGUAUUCAACUUUGCAUCUCUGAAUUGAUUAUUGCUGACCCUUUUUGCUACCAUAUUAUAAGCCUUCCCAGCUCCACAUACAUCUACGUCGUGCGUUUGACUCUCCCUGGUAAUCGCUCUAUCCAAGCUUUUAGAGUUUUUUACUGCAACGGUUACCGAUCACCACCUGCUUCUAGGUAAGAACUAGUAAGAAUUUGAGAUUUGCUUGAUGGAUUUGUGACACACUACCACUUUCUAGUAGUUUGUAGGAUCAUAUUCUUGUGUGUUUCUAUUGCUGCUAACCAUGGCAGGACCACAAGCCGAAAUUGGCUGGGAGAACACGAUGAAGAAGGAGCUUCAUGAUAAAUUUCAGCAAAUGUUGAGUCAACAGGUGGAAGAUGUCAUGGCAAGCUUUGGAAAGGCACUAGAGAUGAUUGAUGACGUUGAGAAGACAAUUGACACCAAGUUGGAUGCCAUGUUCGAUGAAGUACUCACGCGUCUUCCACAACCACCAUCAGCAUCUGCUACACCAUUACAACAACAACCACCUCCACGUCGCGAAACAGCCCUCCGCCGAGCGGGUCGUGUUCCUCUUGAGCCAGGACAAAAUUCUGGUGCCGCUGAUACUGUUGUUGAUGCUUCUAUAGCUCCUGCUGCUACUGCAGAGGUGGAGGACUAUUAUGAGGGUAAGGUUAACCAGUAGCACUAGCACCACCACCAGCACCAGAACUACAUGCAACCACCAGCACCACCACCACCAAGUCGACCUCAUGCAUAUAAUCGCAACGGUAGGGCUCCAGCACCACCUCAGGUAUGAGAUUAUGACCAUAUUCCUAAACGAAAAUUGAAUAUCCCACUGUUUAAGGGUAGAUACAUUCCUGAUGUAUAUCUUACUUGGGAGUUAGAAACUAAACAAUGUUUCACAUGCGUACAGUAUCCUGAGGAUAGAUGUGUUGCUGCUGCUAUUUGUGAAUUCACUAAUUUUGCUUCCGUUUGGAGGUCUGAACAUUGUAUAUUAUAUCAUGAUAAUAUUCCUACUACUUGGGUUUCUUUGAAAAUUGCUAUGCGUACUCGUUGGGCUCCACCAUAUUAUCAAUGUGAAUUACUUCAAAAACUGCAGUGUUUAAGACAAGGAAAAAAAUUAUGUAGAGGAGUAUUAUCAGGAGUUACAAAAUUUAUAGCAGACCUUUGGAGGAACAUUUGGAACAUUUAUGUGAUGUUUUUAUUGCUCUAUGUGAUGCACGUUUGUUUGGUAACCUUGGGAAGUGCACCUUUUGGACCGACCGAGUAUCUUUUCUUGGCUAUGUUGUUACUCCAUAGGGAAUUGAAGUUGAUAAAGCCAAGAUUGGAGCUAUUGAGAGUUGGCCGCAGCCCAAAAUGGUCACACAAGUGAGGAGUUUUCUUGGCCUCGCUGGAUUCUAUAUGCGUUUUGUAAGAGAUUUCAGCACCAUUUCUGCACCUCUCAAUGAGCUUACAAAGAAGGAUGUGCCUUUUGUUUGGGAUACCGCACAGGAAGAAGCCUUCACGGUAUUGAAAGAUAAGUUGACACAUGCUCCUUUACUCCAACUUCCUGAUUUUAAUAAGACUUUUGAGCUUGAAUGUGAUGCUAGUGAAAUUGGAUUUGGAGGUGUAUUAUUACAAGAUGGCAAACCUGUUGCAUACUUUUUUGAAAAAUUGAGUGGGCCAAGUCUGAACUAUUCUACUUAUGAUAAAGAAUUAUAUGCUCUUGUUCAGACUUAGAAACAUGGCAACAUUAUUUAUGGCCUAAGGAAUUUGUUAUACAUUUUGAUCAUGAAUCUUUGGAACAUAUUAAAAGUCAAGCCAGACUGAAUCCUAGACAUGCUAAAUGGGUUGAAUUCAUAGAGACUUUUCCUUAUGUCAUUAAACACAAGAAGGGUAAAGAAAAUGUUAUUGUUGAUGCAUUGUCUCGUCGUUAUACUAUGCUUUCACAACUUGACUUCAAAAUAUUUGGUUUGGAGACCAUCAAAGAUCAAUAUGUGCAUGAUGCUAAAUUUAAAGAUGUAUUGCAUAACUGUAAAGAAGGGAGAACAUGGAACAAGUUCGUCGUUAACGAUGGAUUUGUGUUCGUGCUAACAAGCUAUGCAUUCCGGCUAGCUCUGUUCGUCUUCUGUUGUUGAAGGAGGCGCAUGGAGGAGGAUUAAUGGGACACUUUGGCGUUAAGAAGACAGAGGAUAUACUUGCUACACAUUUCUUUUGGCCAAAGAUGAGACGGGAUGUUGAGCGUUUUGUUGCUCGCUGCACUAUAUGUCAAAAAGCUAAGUCACGACUCAAUCCUCAAGGUUUAUAUAUGCCUUUGCCUGUACCUAGUGUUCCUUGGGAGGAUAUAUCUAUGGACUUUGUUUUAGGUUUACCUCGAACAAAGAAGGGGAGGGAUAGCAUAUUUGUUGUCGUGGAUAGGUUCUCGGAAAUGACACACUUUAUACCAUGUCAUAAAAGCGAUGAUGUUGUUAAUGUUGCUGAGUUGUUCUUUCGUGAAAUUAUUUGCUUGCAUGGUGUGCCAAAUACUAUUGUUUCAGAUCGUGAUACUAAAUUUCUUAGCCACUUUUGGAGAUGUUUAUGGGCUAAGUUGGGGACUAAGCUGCUUUUUAGUACUACCUGUCACCCCAAACUGAUGGACAAACUGAAGUAAUUGUAAGGGCAUAUUUAUCCCUCAGGUGUUUUGGUGAUUGAUGGCAAUGCAUUUUCGGACUAAUCGUGUGCCUUGAGUUUCUCAGGUUAUUCAUCUCUAGGCACGAGACGAUUCUGUGCCCCUCGGAGACUUUUGAAGUCGGCGUUGUUCUACGUUUCUCGUUGGUGGAUUUGAGUCGUAGGAGAGCCAUACUAUUAAGAGGGGGUCCGCGUCGGAAAGGUUUGGGUGGAAUCAACAUGUACACUUGUCCCUCCUUUCCCUGCAUUUUUGAGCUUCCCUUUGUUAUCUUGGUUGUGCGGAAAUCUUACGACUACUGAUGUACUUGCGGUAGUACCGCAAGUACACGCGGUAGUACCGCUGUGGGUCACGGUAGUACCGCUCAUCUCGAGUGGUAGUAUCGCGGCUCCCAGGCCUUGUGCCGCUCCGGUGCGGUAGUAGGGACGGAUGUAAUUUUUUACAUCCGUGCCCUCCACGGAAGUACCGCUCGUCCAACGCGGUAGUACCGCGGGGGCCCACGGUAGUACCGCUCCCUAGGAGUCGUAGUACCAUGGCCCUCCUACCUAGUACCGCAGUGUCGCGGUAGUAGGCGCGGAUGUAAAUUUUUACAUCCGCGCCCGCACGGUAGUACCACGCCUCGCGAGCGGUAGUACCGCGUCGGAUUUUUGUACCACCUCUGUUUCAGCGGAAGUAGGCACGAAUGUAAUUUAUUUCAUCCGCGCCCUUCCCAGGUCGUGACUCUCCUGCCUAGCGGUAGUACCGCAAGUGGGUGCGGUAGUACCACGCAAGCGGUAGUACUGCCCCCUUGUCAGGCUAGUUCCGGCCUGUGCUGCUGUCGCGGUAGUACUGUGGUCAGCCACGGUAGUGCCGCACAGCUUCGCGGUAGUACCGCUCCCCUGGAGCGGUAGUACCGUGUGUCGCGGGCUGAACAUGUGGAUAACAGUUGGAUUCUUUCCACGACUAUAUAAGGGGUGUCUUCUACCUCUAGUUGACUACCUCUUCCAUCUCUAAGCUCCAUUGUUGCUCCAAGCUCCAUUUCCACUCGAUCUCUCUCCCUAGCCAAUCAAACUUGUUGAUUUGCUCGGGAUUGGGUGACAAGUGCCCGAUCUACACUUCCACCAUAGGAUAUUUGAUUCCCCCCACUUAUCCCUAGCGGAACUUGUUACUCUUGGGUGUUGAGCACCCUAGACGGUUGAGGUCACCUCGAAGCCAUACUCCAUUGUGGUGAAGCUUUGCGGUAUUGUUGGGAGCCUCCAAGUGUUGUGGAGAUUGCCCCAAUCUUGUUUGUAAAGGUCCGGUUGCCGCCUUCAAGGGCUCCAAUAGUGGAAUCACGGCAUCUCGCAUUGUGUGAGGGCAUGAGGAGAUUACGGUGGCCCUAGUGGCUUCUUGGGGAGCAUUGUGCCUCCACACAGCUCUAACGGAGACGUACUUCCCCUGAAAAGGAAGGAACUUCGGUAACACAUCCUCGUCUCCACCGGCUCCACUCUUGGUUAUCUUAUCCCUUUACUUUUGCAAGCUUAAUUGUGCUAUAUCCAUUGCUUGCUUGUGUGCUUAUUGUCUUUGCAUCAUAUAGGUUGUCCACGUAGUUGCACAUCUAGACAACCUAUUUCAUUGCAAGGUUUAAAUUGUUAAAGAAAAUUCUAAAAAUUGUUAGUUGCCUAUUCACCCCCCCCCCCUCUAGUCAACCAUAUUGAUCCUUUCAAUUGGUAUCAGAGCCUCGUCUCUUUAUUAAGGACUUUGUCGUCCGAAGAGUAUGGUUGACGUCAACGACGGUGCGGAGGAACACUCCCGUGUGAAUCCCAUCUCGUCUUCGGCCGAAGGGGGAACCUCGGUCUCACGUGAGGAAUUCGAUGUGGCUUUAGACACAUUGAAAACCUCCAUGAUGGCCGAGGUUAAAAGCAUGUUUACUGAAUUUUUAAAGGGACUUAAACUAUCUACCUCACCAAUGAAAGUGGGUGAUCCCACUAACAAGGUGAGGGAUGCUAACUCCGAUAAGGGGGAAGCUAACAAUGAAAAGAGUCCAUCUACUAGUAGUAGAAAUGGCACCGGCAUCUUUGCCCAUGUGGAACCCCCGGUGUAUAGAGGACCGAUCCCCUCUACUCAUUUGAAUCAUGCCGGUCCUCCUCCUAAAUAUGUGAAAAAUGAAGAUUAUGAUUCUUGGGUUUAUCGCUUCAAGCGUCAUUUAAAACAUGUGAAUACUAACCUUUGGAGAAUUAUUGAAGAAGGUUUCUAUCCUCAUGAUCCAAGCAACUUCACCCCUCGAGAAGAAGUGGACAAUCAAUUCAAUGAGAGUGCUCUCUUCAUCAUCCAAGAUGCUAUCCUUCCCGAAGAUCUCCCUCAUCUUCGACCUCAUGUCAUGGCUAAAGAAGCAUGGAAGUGCAUCGAGCGUAUGUAUAGAGGAAGUUCUAGCAUUCAACGCUCCAACUAUGAAGUGGUGCAAGAUGAAGCUGAUGAGUUUGCAAUGAAAGAGGAUGAAGAACCUCGUGAGCUCUUUCGAAGAGUGACCAAACUUGCGGUCGCACUCCGAGAUCAUGGGAGUAAGGACACGGAUGACAACUGGAUCAAGCGCAAGUUCCUCAAGGCCAUGAUGCCCUACAACAAGGCCAUGUCCUCCGUCAUCCGCCAAAGAUCGGACUUCCACUCCAUGACCUCUGGUGAAGUGUUGGAUGAGUUUGUUGCAAUGAACAUCUUGGAUAAGACCACCGACAAUGCGGUGCUCCGUUCCCAAAGGGCAAAGAAGCCCAAUCUUGCCUUGAAGGCCAAGGUUAGUGUGGAAGAAGAAGAAGAAGAGGAAGAUGAGGAGAGCAACCCCGAGGACACAAAGUAUGAUUAUCAUGAGCACAUGGCUCUUGCCUCAAGACAGUUUUGGAGUAAGAAGACUACAAGACCCAACUUCAACAAGAACAACUCAAGUGGCCUCAAGGGGAAGCAAAGAGUUAGAACUUGUUUCAACUGUGGCAAUGUCAGUCAUUUCGUUGCGGAUUGUCCAUACGAGAAGCGGGAAGACAAUGGUGGCAAGUUCAUUCGAAAAGACAAAGCCAAGUCCUUCCCCAACAAGAACAACUUCACCAAGAAGACUCCUUCUCGCGGGUUGGUGGUUCAAGAAGAAUACCGUGAGGAUGACGAUGAUGAUGAAGAUGGUGAAACAAUGGCCAUGGCAUCCGUUGCCAUUGUCUCAACUCCUCGGGUGUCUCUCUUCGAUGCACCUAACGAGAACAUCACCGCUAAGUGCCUCAUGGCUAAGGCCACCAACAAGGUGUUUGCUUCCGGUGGGGGAUCAUGGUUGCUCGAUAGUGGAGCAAAAAAUCAUAUGACCAGGAGCAAGGACUUGGUGGUGGACGUGCACAAUAUCCCAUCUAUGCCCACCAAUGUCGAAUGGGGUGAUGCCUCACAUUCUAAGGUAUUGGGUCUUGGCAAGGUUGUCAUUUCUCAUGAUCUAACGAUCGAGAAAGUCAGGCUUGUUGAGUCCCUUGCGUUCAAUUUACUUUCCGUUCGUCAACUCGCACUCAUGGGUUUUGCCACCUUCUUUGAUAUUGAUACCGUGGCCCUCUUGUGGAGCAAGACUCUUAAAGUAGCCUUUGUUGGGCAUGUCGAGAACGGUCUCUAUGUGGUUAACUUCUCGGAGCAACCCACUAAGACCGCGACAUGCCUAAUGGCUAAAGUUGAUGUGGGAUGGCUUUGGCAUCACCGUUUAGCCCACGUCAAUAUGAGAUCUUUGCAAAGUCUUCUCAAGGGGGACCAUGUCCAUGGACUAACGAAUGUUAGUUUUGCCAAACAUCGUGUUUGCAGUGCUUGUAUCGAAGGAAAGCUUCAUGAGACGGCUCACCCUCCCACGACUAUCAUCUACUCGAAGAGACCCUUGGUGCUCCUCCACAUGGACCUCUUUGGGCCCCCAUCCUUUGAUAGUCUUGGGGGUAGAAAGUAUUGUUUGGUGAUAGUGGAUGAUUAUUCAAGAUACACUUGGGUAUACUUCUUCAAGAGGAAGAGUGAGACUCAACAAACCGUCAUCGACUUUGCAAAUGAAGCUCAACGUCAACACAAUGCAAAGAUCUUGACAAUAAGAAGUGACAACGGCACCGAGUUCAAGAACUACACCUUGGAUGAGUUUCUUAGUGAUGAAGGGAUCAAGCAUCAAUAUUCUGCACCAUAUACCCCUCAACAAAAUGGUGUUGCGGAGAGGAAGAACCGGACAUUGAUGGAUGCGGCAAGGACCAUGAUGGCGGAGUUCAAGUCUCCAUACAAUUUCUGGGCCGAAGCCAUCAACACAGCUUGUCAUGCAUCCAAUCGGCUCUAUCUCCGCAAAGGUUUGAACAAGACUCCGUAUGAGAUACUCACCGGGAACAAGCCCAAUCUCAAGUACUUCCGGGUGUUCGGGUGUAAGUGUUUCAUUCUCAAGAAAGGUGUUCGUUUGUCUAAAUUCGAAGCUAGAGCUCAUGAAGGCAUAUUUGUUGGUUAUGCUACAAACUCUCAUGCUUACCGUGUUCUCAACAAGUCCAACGGACUCAUUGAGGAGACGUGUAACAUAGAGUUUGACGAAAAUAACGGCUCCCAAGUGGAGCAAAGUGGUACUUGUGAUGUAGGUGAUGAAAUUCCUCCCCAAGCCAUAAGAAGAAUGGGUAUUGGUCAUAUCCUACCCAUUGAGGAACCCCUUGUGGCCGAAGGAGAAGGACAAUGCUCCACUCAAGUGGAGCCAUCACCUCCCCAAGACCCACACGCUUCCGAAGAACAAAGUGAAGGCCCUCACCCUCUUGAACAAGACCAAGGGCAAGAUCAACCUCAAGAUGGUGGUGAACCUCUAAAUGAUGCCCAAGGUCAAGUUCUCCCCCUCGAGCAAGUUCAAGAUCAUGAGCAAGCUCAAGACGGCGCUCAAGAUGAUCAAGUUAACCUUCCUCCUUCCACACCCGAGGAGGAAUUAGAGCGUCGUGCCGUGAAGAUUUCUUCCAAACUCACCACACAAGGCCAUCUCAUGGAAAACGUGGUUGGAAGCCUAAGGAAGGGGGUAAGCACUUGUAGACAAUUAGCUAACUAUUGUGAACAUCAUGUGUUUGUCUUGUGUUGAACCCCAAAAGGUCUAUGAGGCGCUCGAAGACUCAGAUUGGCUCAAUGCCAUGCAUGAAGAACUCAACAACUUCGAAUACAAGAAGGUGUGGAGAUUGGUGCCAAGACCUUCAGGGAAUCACAACGUCAUUGGAACAAAGUGGAUCUUCAAGAACAAGCAAGAUGCUCAUGGGAACAUCAUCCGCAACAAGGCAAGAUUGGUAGCACAAGGCUACUCCCAAGUCGAGGGUAUCUACUAAGGUGAAACCUUUGCUCCCGUUGCUCGUCUUGAAUCCAUUCGUUUGUUGAUUACUUAUGCUUCCCAUCACAACUUUAAGUUGCAACAAAUGGAUGUGAAAAGUGCUUUUCUUAAUGGUCCCAUUAAUGAGUUGGUUUGUGUCAAGCAACCCCCUGGGUUCGAGGACCCCUACUUCCCGGAUCAUGUGUAUCAACUCGAUAAGGCACUCUAUGGCCUUAAACAAGCCCCACGUGCGUGGUAUGACCACCUUACCGAGUUGUUACAAGAUCGUGGAUUUGAAGUAGGACAAAUCGAUCCCACUCUUUUUACUAAGAAGGUCAAAGGGGAGUUGUUUGUAUGCCAACUAUAUGUUGAUGACAUUAUCUUUGGUUCUCCUAACAAAGCUUUCAAUGAGGAAUUUGCCGCUCUCAUGACCUCCAAGUUCAAGAUGUCUUCGAUGGGAGAGUUGAAGUUCUUCCUUGGCUUUGACAUCAAACAAAGAAGAGAAGGAACCUUCAUCAACCAAGCCAAAUACACUCAAGACAUGCUUAAAAGAUUCAAGCUAAGUGAUGUCAAGCCGGCUUCUACACCAAUGCCUACCAAGUGCCAACUUGACAUCGAUCCCAAUGGUAAAGCGGUGGAUCAAAAGGUAUAUCGCUCCAUGAUUGGCUCCUUGCUUUACCUUUGUGCAUCUAGACCGGAUAUCAUGUUGAGUGUGGGGAUGUGUGCAUGGUUUCAAGCCGCACCAAAGGAAAGUCACUAUGUGGCGGUCAAGAGAAUCUUUCGAUAUUUGGCUCAUACCCCAAACUUUGGCCUAUGGUACCCAAGAGGAGCAAACUUCAAGCUUGAAGGUUUCACGAAUUCCGAUUGGGCGGGGGACAAAUUGGAUAGGAAGUCCACUUCCGGAGGGUGCCAAUUUCUUGGUUGCUCUUUGGUAAGUUGGUCUUCCAAGAAGCAAAGUUGUGUGUCCCACUCGUCCACCGAAGCGGAGUAUGUGGCGGCCGGUAGUUGUUGUGCUCAACUCCUAUGGAUGAGGCAAACUUUAAAGGAGUACGGUGUCAUUUGUGACAAAGUGCCUCUUUGGUGUGAUAAUGAAAGUGCCAUCAAGAUUUCUCUCAACCCGGUACAACACUUCAAGACGAAGCACAUUGAGAUUCGGUAUCACUUCAUCCGGGAUCACAUUAGGCGAGGGGAGAUCGAGCUCAAGUAUGUCAACACUCAUGAUAACCUUGCAGAUAUUUUUACGAAGCCCUUGGAUGAAGCAAGAUUUCGCGAGUUAAGGCAUGAGCUAAAUAUCAUUGAUUUGAGCAAUGUGACUUGAACCCGUACACCCCCCACCACACUCAACGUGUUGUCUAGUUUAGGUGUAGGCAUGGACAUAGGGGGAGUGUAGUUUUCUCAAUGAACUCUCCCUCCCCCCAUUAUGCAUAAAUCGAUCACCUCUUUCACAUUAGCCAUUUUUAAUGGUACUUGUGCUUCAAAGACGAGUUUUGGUCAUGGGUCCAAGGAUAAUUCUUCGUGGUGCCAUACCAUCCAACUCAAACAUAGGUGGAUUCGGCCACCGCCCUCUCUCCUCGAGAUGCUUUGUCGCUUGGUGGUUUCUUGUUGUCUUUUUGCCUCUGGUUUGUGCGUGUUCUUGUGGUUUCUUGUGUGUGAAAAGUUUCCGUGCAAAGGCUUUUUCUUAUCGUGUUGAAACUUGCGGUGACUUGAGCUCACGGUACUACCGCGGCCAGCUACGGUACUACCGUAGCCAGCCACGGUACUACCGCUUGCGGGAGCACGGUACUACCGUGACCACGCGGCAGUAAUUUUUUACUGCCGCCUGGUUGAGCGGUACUACCGCCUCAGCGCGGUACUUCCGCCCGAGCGGUACUACCGCGAUGAUACGCGGUACUACCGCGCCGGUUCGAGCGCGUGGGGAUAAGGACGGGCAGGGGGAGUUUUAACUCCCCAUACCCAUUCGUUGUCCUCUCUCUCCACGUCGCCUCCUUCUCUCCCUCGCUCAAGAACGGAGCCGGCGUUCGUCGCCUCCUGCCCUCUCUCUCCACGUCGCCUCCUGCCCUCCUGUGAUUCCGACCGAUGGGAUCGUUCCCCACCACGUGCUCUUGCUAUGGACCAAGGUUUUUCCCCAACUCCCUCUCCGUGUUGAUUGUGUUUAGUGUUUCUAGGUUUUGAGGGAGGCUUGUGUGUUUUUGAGAUUCUUAGGCUUAGUCUCUGCAAGAGUAGGAUGAAGGAGCGUGGUAUUGCAUAGGAUUUAUACUUGUAUUGUUGUCUUGCGCUAGAUCGGAUCACGGUAGCACCGCCAUUGUUUCGCGGUUCUUUUCAGAUUCAAACCGCCGGUUGGAUCUGACGCGACGCGGUACUACCGCCCGUCUGGCGCGGUACUACCGCUUGCAUGGUACUACCGCCCUUCGGGAGCGGUACUACCGUGCUCUGUGCGGUACUAAAAUUUUACUUCCGCUCCAACCACGGUUCUACCAUGACCUCGCACGGUACUACCGCGUUUGGAGCAGUACUAAUAUUUUAGUACCGCAGGCAGUGGCAGUUCUACCGCGGCUCACAUCUAUCGCAUGCCAACUUUCUCGUAUGCCUUCUAUGUGUUUCUUGUGCUUUUUCGUGGCCUUUGCAUUGAUCCUUUCGCGUCUUUGGUGUUUUGCAUGUGUGUCUUAGGUGGUGGCUCUCACCGGUCCAACCCCAGUCGUGACACUGGUUCCAAACGUCUGCGCAACCCAGGUGAUGUACCAGAGGGCUCGUCUGCCUCCAAGCGCAAUGUCAAGCACUCAGCUAGCAAGCACAAGGAGCCCGCUAAGGGCAUGGAUGAGAUAGCCCAAGCUAAUUAUGUCCGUCUCAGGCAGCUUCACCCUUAUGUGCACCCGCGUUCCACUUUCAGAGGCUGUGAGCUAUUCUGGAACAAGCAAUAGACCAACAUAUAUCUGGAUGUCAUCAAGAACAAGCAGAAUACCUAUGUGGAGGUGAAGUGGAUUGAUAUGCAUCACAUGAGGAAGGACAAGUUCCGUGACUACUUUGGAGAGGCUCUGGACUUGGUGGAUCAGUUUGGCAUUGAGCAUGUGUUAACCUUCCACCUCGACUAUGACCCUGAGCUUAUCUGUCAGUUCUUUGCCUCAGUCUACUUUCACUCUGAUGAGGAACGGAGGAUGACCUGGAUGACCAAUGGCCGUAAGCUGUCUGCUACCUGGAAGGAGUUCAUGGAUCUCCUCCAGGUUCCUGAUGAUGGGCUCGACUCUCUAGUCGGUGUUCACCCCCAUGCCAAUGCUGAGUCUGCCAGCAAGGACAGGCUUGCCCCAUUCAUGGUUGAGAAGGCGCUCGCCAAUGGCAAGACAACUUUGGUGCUCAACCCUUUCCUGGAUAUCAUGUAUCGCAUCUUCCGCAACUCCUUGUUCCCUCGCAUCGGUGACAAAGACAAGGUUCAUGCCUAUAUGGUGGACAUGAUGCUCAUCUGCGAGGAGGCUCGUUCGUCUCAGUCUCAGCCACUUGAUGUCUCACACAUCAUGUGGUGUGAGCUCCGGUUUGCAGUGUUCAACCGCAAGGUGCCUAUCUAUGGGCCCUAUCUGUUUCUGCUGAUUUCGAAGACUUGGGAGAAGAUGUUCCCUGAUGAGGAGUUUCUUGCUCCAGACUAGGUUCGCCAUGAGCCCAUCUGCCUACAUAUCAAAUCCAACUGGGCCAACACCACUACUCGUGCUGAGGCGUCUGCUGCUAGGGCUGCUGUUGAUGAGGAGGAUGCUGGCGCCAAGGAUGUUGCUGAGGGCCGUGCUGCUAGGCCUUCCCAGAGUGCCGCUAUGCCAUCAUGGGCCAGGAAGCUGAAGGACAAGAUGAAGACUCUUUUCUGCAUGCAAGCCAAGGGGCAGUACAGGACUCACGUGGCGUCCAAGGAGAGUCGUCGCCGGGACAACAAGAUCUUGCAGCUCUAUGGUGAGGCAGUGUCUGGCGGGUCUGAGGAGCACAUCACUCCAGAGGCAGAGUGGAUGGAGAAGCAGGGCUACAGGUGGACUGAGUCUGAGGAGGAUGUCGAGGAGACCAUCCCUGCUGCCGAGGAGACCGACGGAGAGGCUUGGGACGAGUUCUCUGCUUGAGCCACCUCUUGUGUGUAGGUGUCCUCUCUGCCUUUUUGGCGUUUCGAUGCCAAAGGGGGAGAGAGUGUAGGGAUUUGCGAGCGUGUCGUGUGUUUGCUGCUUUCUCGUUUGUGUCGUGUGUUUGCUGCUUUCUCGUUUGAACUUCGGUAGCUUUACUUCGUAUGGUGUAAGACAUAUGCACUCUAUCUAUCCUAGCGAGCUUGUGUUUUAUUGUGCUAUAUUUAUGCUACGCUAUGCUUAUUAUCAUGCCUUGGUCUCUAAAAUAUAGGGGGGGUGUUGAUCCUAGUCUAUGUGCUAUGCAGUCCAAAGCAUUCAUCUAAAGUGCACACAUCUAGGGGGAGCCCGUCUAUAUUUUAGAGAGGUGGGGUUUGCCCCUGCUCUAAAUUAUCUUAUCUAUAUGCAAAUCCCGUGUUGUCAUCAAUCCACCAAAAAGGGGGAGAUUGUAAGGGCAUAUUUAUCCCUCAGGUGUUUUGGUGAUUGAUGACAAUGCAUUUGCGGACUAAUCGUGUGCCUUGAGUUUCUCAGGUUAUUCAUCUCUAGGCACGAGACGAUUCGGUGCCCCUCGGAGACUUUUGAAGUCGGCGUUGUUCUACGUUUCUCGUUGGUGGAUUUGAGUCGUAGGAGAGCCGUACUAUUAAGAGGGGGUCCGCGUCGGAAAGGUUUGGGUGGAAUCAACACGUACACUUGUCCCUCCUUUCCCAGCAUUUUGGAGCUUCCCUUUGUUAUCUUGGUUGUGCGGAAAUCUGACGACUACUGCUGUACUUGCGGUAGUACCGCAACUACACGCGGUAAUACCGCUGUGGGUCACGGUAGUACCGCUCAUCUGGAGUGGUAGUACCGCGGCUCCCAGGCCUUGUGCCGCUCCGGUGCGGUAGUAGGGGCGGAUGUAAUUUUUUACAUCCGCGCCCUCCAUGGAAGUACCGCUCGUCCAGCGCGGUAGUACUGCGGGGGCCCACGGUAGUACCGCUCCCUAGGAGUCGUAGUACCGUGGCCCUCCUACCUAGUACUCGCGGUAGUAGGCGCGGAUGUAAAUUUUUACAUCCGUGCCCGCGCGUUAGUACCGCGCCUCGCGAGCGGUAGUACCGCGUCGGAUUUUUGUACCACCUCUGUUUCAGUGGAAGUAGGCACGAAUGUAAUUUAUUUCAUCCGUGCCCUUCCCAGGCCGUGACUCUCCUGCCUAGCGGUAGUACCGCAAGUGGGUGCGGUAGUACCGCGCAAGCGGUAGUACUGCCCCCUUGUCAGGCUAGUUCCGGCCUGUGCUGCUGUCGCGGUAGUACUGUGGUCAGCCACGGUAGUACCGCAUAGCUUCGCGGUAGUACCGCUCCCCUGGAGUGGUAGUACCGUGUGUCGCGGGCUGAACAUGUGGAUAACGGUUGGAUUCUUUCCACGACUAUAUAAGGGGUGUCUUCUACCUCUAGUUGACUACCUCUUCCAUCUCUAAGUUCCAUUGUUGCUCCAAGCUCCAUUUUCACUCGAUCUCUCUCCCUAGCCAAUCAAACUUGUUGAUUUGCUCGGGAUUGGGUGACAAGUGCCCGAUCUACACUUCCACCAUAGGAUAUUUGAUUCCCCCCACUUAUCCCUAGCGGAUCUUGUUACUCUUGGGUGUUGAGCACCCUAGACGGUUGAGGUCACCUCAAAGCCAUACUCCAUUGUGGUGAAGCUUCGCGGUAUUGUUGGGAGCCUCCAAGUGUUGUGGAGAUUGCCCCAAUCUUGUUUGUAAAAGGUCCGGUUGCCGCCUUCAAGGGCUCCAAUAGUGGAAUCACGGCAUCUCGCAUUGUGUGAGGGCGUGAGGAGAUUACGGUGGCCCUAGUGGCUUCUUGGGGAGCAUUGUGCCUCCACACCGCUCUAACGGAGACGUACUUCCCCUUAAAAGGAAGGAACUUCGGUAACACAUCCUCGUCUCCACCGGCUCCACUCUUGGUUAUCUUAUCCCUUUACUUUUGCAAGCUUACUUGUGCUAUAUCCAUUGCUUGCUUGUGUGCUUGUUGUCUUUGCAUCAUAUAGGUUGUCCACGUAGUUGCACAUCUAGACAACCUAUUUCAUUGCAAGGUUUAAAUUGUUAAAGAAAAGUCUAAAAAUUGUUAGUUGCCUAUUCACCCCCCUCUAGUCAACCAUAUCGAUCCUUUCAGUAGUCAAUAGAACAUUGUCUACUAUGCUUAGGGAUGUUUUGAAGAAUAAUAAGAAAAUGUGGGAAGAAUGCUUGCCUCUUAUUGAAAUUGCUUAUAAUCGUUCGUUGCAUUCUACUAGUAAGAUGUGCCCUUUUGAAAUUGUGUAUGGUUUUCUACCUCGUGCACCUAUUGAUUUGUUGCGUCUUCCAUCUUCAGAGAAGGUUAAUUUUGAUGCUAAAAAUGUGUUGAAUUGAUCUUAAAAAUACAUGAGUUAACCAAGGAAAACAUUGAGCGUAUGAAUGAUAAAUAUGAACUUGCUAGAGAUAAGGGUAGAAAACAUAUUGUGUUUGCACCUGGAGAUCUUGUUUGGUUACAUUUGCGUAAGGAUAGAUUUCUUGAUUAGCGCAAAUCAAAGCUAAUGCCACAUGCUAAUGGUCCUUUUAAGGUGUUAUAGAAAAAAAAUGAUAAUUCAUAUAAACUUGAGCUGCCUGCAGAUUUUGGGGUUAGUCCCACCUUUAAUAGUGCAGAUUUGAAGCCUUAUUUGGGUGAGGAAGAUGAGCUUCCGUCGAGGACGACUUCAUUUCAAGAAGGGGAGGAUGAUAAGGACAUCAAUAUCAUUGUUACACCCACAGCCCCUGCUACUAUACAUACUGGACCAAUUAUUAGAGCUCGCACACGCCAAUUAAAUUACCAGGUACUUUUGUUUCUUGGUAAUGAUUCUAAUAUUCAUGAGAAUAUGAUGCGGCCUAAAUUGGAUACAUUUGUUUUGCUUACAAAUGAAGGGCCUAGCUUGGAGAAGGAUGAACAUUGGAGCAAGAACAAGCAUGGAGAUGAUGGCAUGCACAAGGGAAACAAGAACAGAGUUUCAAGUAAUGAUUUCAGGACUUUAAAACCACCAUAAUGAGUGCAUGAAGGAUUGGGCGAACUAUACAAGAUGCCACUUCACAAAUUUCAUCCAGAGGCUAUUAUAGGUGUUGUGUUACCUUAUUAUUGGGCCAGACCCAUGUAAUUUCGAAAUACAUAAGUAUAGGUUGUUUUUAGAGUCCACAUGUGCAGGAAACAAAAUUAGGGUUAGUUUCGGACCCCUCCUACAAGGAGUCACAAAAUCCCCCCUACUCCUCCAUAUAUACAGCCCUUAGGGCGUCAUUCAGACUUUGGGUUUUGUUUAGAUUAAAAGUUCUCCAUAGCUGCAACUUCAUGUACUUUGUUUGUGUUCAACGAACAGAUCAAGACGUCACAGAACCCCACCUUGAUCAAUAAAGCUUUCAUCUUGUAUUUGCAAUAUCCAGAUUGUAAUCUUAGUUUCUUGCUUAUUAUUUGUUUACUUGCAGGAAAUAGACCCUCGUGGUCAGGUUGAUCGUGCUCCAGCAUGGACAAUAACCCCUUGGAAGUUGGUUUAGCGAUUGCUAACUCGCGACGUCUCGCACGUUCAUAGUCGGAUCGUCAAGAGUCGACUCCCACAGAAAACGAUAGCUAUCUCGUCAAAACAUCAGGACACCCUCGCCUCUAUCAUGUUCAUAUCCUACGCAUGCUAGUAUCCAAUGUUCAUUAUACAUAAUGCAUGUUCAUGACCGUUUUUGCUCUCUAGUUGGCUGCUUCCCAACCUAAUUGCUAGCCUUCGCCUGUAUUAAGCGGAAUUACUGCUUGUGCAUCAAAAAUCCUAAAACCCAAGUUAUUCCAGAUGAGUCCACCAUACCUAUCUAUAUGUGGUAUUACCCUACCGUUCUAAGUAAAUUUGCAUGUGCCAUCUCUAAAAACUUCAAAUAAAUAUCCUUUUUUAUGUGCCUGGAUUGUUCAUAGAGCGACAUGAGGUAGUCAGUAUCUUCCAUGCUAAGCGGGUUAUUCUCAUGAUGAGUGUUUAUUCACUCGUCCUUGCACGAGAGAGGUGGUAAUAGGGAUUCCCAGUCCCGAAAUGAAAUUGCAAAUAAUUAAAUAAAACUCCCCCAGGACUGAUGUUGGUAUGGAUGGUACCCGUGGAUUCGGUUAGCCGUGGAACGUGUUUGUUGGUGGAGGGGGAGUAAACCUUUACUUUUGUCGCUUGGGAACCGCCACUAAUGUGUUUAGCAUGGAAGAUAUUGAUUACCAAUGGUCGUGAAGUAAACAAGAAGGGUGCAUUUCUCAAAAUUUCAUUUACCUCUGUUUUAGAAAUUGAGCUCUGGCGUCGCUGCAAAUCCAUGCUUCCCUCUGCGAAGGGACUAUCUAUUUAUCUUUAUGUUGAGUCAUCACCUUCUCAAAUAAGCACCAGAUCCUGAGAUCACUAUUGUCAUCCCCGUGCAUUGUGUAUAGUUAAUGUUGGGUGCAUCAUGACUGGAUCUUUUCUACCAUGAAUUACAAUGUUUAUUCAUUGCUUGAACUUUGGAGGUGCUCUGCAUUUAUGUUUUGCGGUCUCGGAAAGGGCGAGAUAUCACUAUUGUCAUAUUAUAUCAUGAUUGUUUUGACAGGGAGAUAUUUUAUUAUUGCUCGCUAGUUGAUUAUGUCAUUGAUAUGAGUUAAUAUAAUUUCUAAGAGUUAUUGUUGACAUGGUUGGUUAUAAUCUUUGCUGAAAACCUAGGUGCUAUUUAAGCUUAUUUAUGUAAACAAGAGCAAAAGAGUUUGUAAAAGUUUUUCCUUUUCACUUUUAGUUUAUCAACUGAAUUGCUUGAGGAAAAGAAAAUAUUUAAGCUUGGGGGAGUUGAUACGUCUCCGUCGUAUCUACUUUUCCUCUUGUUUUGGACUCUAAUUUGCAUGAUUUGAAUGAAACUAACCCGGACUGACGUUGUUUUUAGCAGAACUACCAUGGUGUUGUUUUUGUGCAAAAAUAAAAGUUCUCGGAUUGAAAUGAAACUUUGCGAGGAUUUUUUUAUAUAAUAAAAGAAAAAUACUAGAGCCAAGAACCACCGGAGGGGGGCCCUGGGUGAGCACAACCCACCAGGGCGCCCCCCUCAGGCACGCCCAGGUGGGUUGUGCCCACCUGGUGGCCCUGCAGACCUUGAUUCCAACGCUAUAAAAUCCUAUUUUUUUAGAAAAAAAAUUCAGGGAGUAAGAAUUAUCUCGUUACAUGAUACGGAGCCGCCACCACCUCCUGUUGUUCAUCAGGAGGCCAGAUCGGGAGUCCGUUUUGGGCUCAGGAGAGGGGUAUCUUCGAUCUUUGUCAUCACCAACCCUCCUUCAUCGCCAAUUCCAUGAUGCUCCCCACCAGGAGUGAGUAAUUCCUUCAUAGGAUCGCUGGUCGACGAGGAGUUGGAUGAGAUUCAUCAUGUAAUCGAGUUAGUUUUGUUAGGGCUUGAUUCCUAGUAUCCACUAUGUUCUGAGAUUGAUGUUGAUAUGACUUUGCCAUGCUUAAUGCUUGUCACUUUGGGCCUGGGUGCCAUGAUUUCAGAUUUGGACCGUUUAUGUUAUCACCAUUAUAUCUAUGUUCUAGAUCUGAUCUUGCAAGUCGAAUUCACCUAUUACGUGUUAUGAUCCGUAAACCCCAGAGUGACAAUAGUCGGGAUACUUUCCGAUGAUGACCGUAGUUUGAGGAGUUCAUGUAUUCACUAUGUGUUAAUGCUUUGUUCCGGUUCUCUAUUAAAAUCAUGCCUUAAUAUCCCUUAGUUUCCAUAUGGACCCCGCUGCCAUGGGAGGGUAGGACAAAAGAUGUCAUGCAAGUUCUUUCCACAAGCACGUAUGACUAUUUACGGAAUACAUGCCUACAUUAUAUCUAUGAACUGGAGCUAGAGACGCAUCGCCUUAGGUUAUGAUUGUUAUAUGAUGAAUAUCAUCCAACGAAUUCACACAUCCAAUGCCUACGAAUUCUCUUAUAUUGUUCUUGCUAAAUUACUACUGUUACUGUUACUACUACACUUGCUACAAAAUCAUUGCUAUCAUUGUUACCGUUACUAUUGCUGUUGCUACCACUAUCAAACUUAUCAUACUACUUUGCUACUGAUCACUUUGCUGUAGAUAAUUAAUCUCCAGGUGUGGUUGAAUUGACAACUUAGCUGCUAAUACUUGCGAAUAUUUUUUGGCUUCUCUUGUGUCGAAUCAAUAAAUUUGGGUUGAAUACUCUACCCUCAAAAACUGUUGCGAUCCCCUAUACUUGUGAGUUAUCAGCAUGCUAUAGGUAAUUAUACUUAUCAUCGUCAAGCUCCCAUCAAUAUUCGUGAUAGAUAUUGGUUCGCAAGUAAGGUUGACGUAGAUACUUGCAGUCUCCUUGUCGCAUCCUCGAUAGGUCUCUGGGAUCUUCUACUCAUGUAUGUCGCCUACUUCUAGUUGAACCUGACAUGGUCAGAUGAUGGAUCAAUGGAUGGUGAUGGUCACUUAACUGAUGUAGGACUUGCUUUGUCGGAGGUCACUCCUUGUUUUGUCGCGGGUGCGAGGUCGAUCUUGGUCGCGGUUGUAUCCUUGACUCUUGAUAUGGGGCAGGUCCAUGGGUGGCCCAAUUUUCAUGAAUUGGAAGUGGACUUGAGGAAAAACAUGAACACAUGGGAAAACAUGAGAAAUUCGGAGGCAGACUGGUUGCAAUCUGAGCGGCGCACCGAGCCCAAAUUUGCUCAAGGAGAACCGGGGCUCUGAAGUGGGCAUCGCUUACGUGGUGAUCCGCUGUCGGGCCAGAGCUACAUGCGAACGAUGAUUUGCGAGUACAUGUGGUGGGUGGCCACAUAGAGGGGAAAGAAAUGAGACUGUGGCGCGUUUUGGGGGUCAUCGUCCAAUUUAAGUAGCCAGAUUUGGCCCAUCAAGCGGCGCAUUAGAGCGGCGUUUUCGCCGGACCACCGAGUAAUUACGGGUGUCCAUAUGGAUCCCACACGUCAGCCUGAAGUGGCCGACGCACCCAUGUGCAUUCGGGCCUCCUAAUAUCUGCCCUAAAUUUGGGUUGAGUAUGAGAGGUGUCGUUCAGCCCGGACGUAUAGAGCCGGUUUGAGAAGCCCGUCUGGAUUACAUUUUUGUGACCGGUCACUGACCGGAUCGUUCCCCAGACAUGGCAUUUGAGAAGCCCGGCUUGCUUGGUAUAGCAGAUAAUGUGGUUUUACCCCUUUUAAUAAAAGAAGUUUUUAUAUACCUUUAAAAGGCGAUUCUUCCAUAAAAAACAUAAAGACAAGGUAACAAGACUUCUUUUUCUUUGAGAAGAAAAGGUGAUAAAGACUCGGACUGCUCACGAGUUCUGGUGAUUGAUACGUCUCCAACGUAUCUAUAAUUUAUGAAGCAUUCAUGCUAUUAUAUUAUCUGUUUUGGAUGUUUACGGGCUUUAUUAUACACUUUUAUAUUAUUUUUGGGACUAACCUAUUAACCGGGGGCCCAACCCAUAUUGUUGUUUUCUUGCCUAUUUCAAUGUUUCAAAGAAAAGGAAUAUCAAACGGAGUCCAAACGAAUGAAACCUUUAGGAGCGUGAUUUUUGGAACGAACUUGAUCCAGGAGACGUGGAGCUGAAGUCAGGGAAGCUUCGAGGAGGCCACGAGGCAGGGGGGCGCGCCCACCCCCUCUGGGCGCGCCCUCCACCCUCGUGGGCCCCUCGUGGCUCACCUGACCGACUUCUUUCGCCUAUAUAAGUCCAUAUACCCUAAAACCUUUGAGGAGAACAAUAGAUCGGGAGUUCCGCUGCCGCAAGCCUCUGUAGCCACCAAAAACCAAUCGGGACUCUGUUUCGGCACCCUGCCGGAGGGGGAUCCCUCACCGGUGGCCAUCUUCAUCAUCCCAGCGCUCUUCAUGAUGAGGAGGGAGUAGUUCACCCUCGGGGCUGAGGGUAUGUACCAGUAGCUAUGUGUUUGAUCUCUCUCUCUCUCUCUCUCUCUCUCUCGUGUUCUUGAUUUGGCAUGAUCUUAAUGUAUCACGAGCUUUGCUAUUAUAGUUGAUCUUAUGAUAUUUCUCCCCCUCUACUCUCCUGUAAUGGAUUGAGUUUUCCCUUUGAAGUUAUCUUAUUGGAUUGAGUCUUUAAGGAUUUGAGAACACUUGAUGUAUGUCUUACCAUGCUUAUCUGUGGUGACAAUGGGAUAUUCACGUGAUCUACUUGAUGUAUAUUUUGGUGAUCAACUUGCGGGUUCAGUGACCUUGUGAACUUAUGCAUAGGGGUUGGCACACGUUUUCGUCUUGACUCUUCGGUAGAAACUUUGGGGCACUCUUUGAAGUACUUUGUGUUGGUUGAAUAGAUGAAUCUGAGAUUGUGUGAUGCAUAUCGUAUAAUCAUGCCCACGGAUACUUAAGGUGAUAAUGGAGUAUCUGGUGACAUUAGAGUUUUGGUUGAUUUGUGUCUUAAGGUGUUAUUCUAGUAUGAACUAUAUAAUAGAUCGAACGUAAAGAAUAGCUUCAUGUUAUUUUACUACGGACUCUUGAAUAGAUAGAUUAAAAAGGAUAACUUUGAGGUGGUUUCGUACCAUACCAUAAUCUCUUCGUUUGUUCUCUGCUAUUAGUGAUUUUGGAGUGACUCUUUGUUGCAUGUUGAGGGAUAGUUAUAUGAUCCAGUUAUGUUAUUAUUGUUGAGAGAAUUUGCACUAGUGAAAGUAUGAACCUUAGCCCUUAUUUCCUAUCAUUGCAAUACCGUUUACGCUCACUUUUAUCGCUUGCUAACUUGCUGUUUUUAUAAUUUCAGAUUACAAAUACAUUUAUCUACCAUCCAUAUUGUACUUGUAUCAUCUCUUCGCCGAACUAGUGCACCUAUACAAUUUACCAUUAUAUUGGGUGUGUUGGGAACACAAGAAACUCUUUGUUAUUUGGUUGCAAGGUUGUUUGAGAGAGACCAUCUUCAUCUUACGCCUCCCACGAAUUGAUAAACCUUAGGUCAUCAACUUGAGGAAAAUUUGCUACUGUCCUACAAACAUCUGUACUUGGAGGUCCAACGACGUCUACAGAAACAAGGUUGUAUAGUAAACAUUAGUGACCGUCGUCUUUUCCCCCACAAGUUCGGCCACUGGUUGCCGGGAUCCGCUACAAGUUCGCCGGCUUUUCACCNNNNNNNNNNNNNNNNNNNNNNNNNNNNNNNNNNNNNNNNNNNNNNNNNNNNNNNNNNNNNNNNNNNNNNNNNNNNNNNNNNNNNNNNNNNNNNNNNNNNNNNNNNNNNNNNNNNNNNNNNNNNNNNNNNNNNNNNNNNNNNNNNNNNNNNNNNNNNNNNNNNNNNNNNNNNNNNNNNNNNNNNNNNNNNNNNNNNNNNNNNNNNNNNNNNNNNNNNNNNNNNNNNNNNNNNNNNNNNNNNNNNNNNNNNNNNNNNNNNNNNNNNNNNNNNNNNNNNNNNNNNNNNNNNNNNNNNNNNNNNNNNNNNNNNNNNNNNNNNNNNNNNNNNNNNNNNNNNNNNNNNNNNNNNNNNNNNNNNNNNNNCUGGCUGCGAGGUGCGAUCAAAGGCUUUGUAUCUGAAGCCCAUAGGGGCCCAAACAAAGCCCACCUACUGGUGCAAAUUUCCCCUUCCGCACAACCACACGCGGCGGCGGCGGUGUGUAGAGAGAGAAUAAUGGAGGGGAGAGAAGACGACAAGAAAGGCGGCGCCGCCGCCCCCGGCAGCUCAGCGCCGGGGACGAGAUUCAAGAACCUGGUCUCCAGGGAAUACUACAGCCACAAGAAGAAGGUACGGCUCCAUGCCCCACCCUGCACGGGAAUUCUCUCUCUGCGCCCCUAAAACCCAAAAUCCCGCGAGAAAGAAGUCCGAAAUUAUCCAAUGCCGGAUCUUUCCUUGAUGUGAAAUCCCUCGAACCCUAGCGUCGCAAGCUAAAAGGAGGAUAGGAUAUGAAAGUUUCAAUAUUUGGGUCGUCCGGUUUCGUUUUCUACAUGGGAGCAAAGUUGUGGGGAAACUUCGAUUCGAGCUAAUUGUUAGGUCACCAGUUUUUCUUUUUUGGAGAAAAGUAUACUGAUCAUACUUUCUUUGUCGAGUGGUUCUUUUCCAUUAUAAUGAAGAAAAUUGGUGUUAGCAUGCUGAGAAAGAAAACCAAUUUCGAGUCAGGCGCUUAUUUAGUUUCGUAAGUUUGUUGGGGAAAGAGGGAGAAACCAUCUUCCUUUCAGAAAAAAACAUUGUAUUUGAGAGGAUCAUUUGGUUGCUUUAUGUUGUUUGUUUUGCUAAAAAGAACUCCUUCUACUAUAAAUGUAUAAUACACAAUACUUAUGCAUAAAAUUGUAGUUGCUUUUGCGCUCUUUGUUCUUGCUUAUCAAUGCAGAUUUUCGUAUGAUCACUGAUCUUUUGUAUUUUAUUAGGUGCACUCUGUAGCAUGGAACUGCAUAGGCACAAAGCUUGCUUCAGGCUCUAUAGAUCACACUGCCCGUGUCUGGAGCAUUGAUCCCCAUGGCCAUGUAACUUUCUCUCCUGGUUUUCUAAUUACUACAAGAAUAACCCUGCUUGUUACAGAGUUAGAUAACCCUUUUUUGUUGUCAAGCACUCCAAUUUUUUAUACCUUUUCUUUUGUGAAAUCUAUGUAAUUGGGAAUCUCUUUCUCAUAGAAUGCUAGUACCAAAUUACGAUCUUAGCAACAAUAUAUUGUAGCAUGCAUAUUUGCUUUGGCAUGCUCAUGCUGGCCCUUAGUAUACCAAAGAUGGGUCAGUAUAAUUGGAUGACUGCAAUCUACCAAGCUAUCUAUUAUCUUGAAAUUGCAGAAGUUUACCAGGCAUUCUGUAUUCCUGUUUGCAGGAUUGUGUGCACAAUAGGGGCACCUUAACGAGAGCAGAUUUUGUGCCAAUAGUUGCCACUAUGUUCAUUAUUCAAAAUCCACUUUCUGAGUUUUAAGUAAUGUGAAACAAUUCAUUGGCGUAAAUAUUCUAUGCCAUGUGCGCAGUGGACCUGCUAAAAUUCAUCAGCAAAUAUGACUUAUUGUGACAUGUACAAAAGAGACAAAUUUAUGGUUAUGUUACUUAAAGGUCUUCUCUUUUUAAUCUAGUUCGUAAUAUUCAUAUUCUUGGACAAAAUCCAUGACUUAUUUUUUUGAAACUCGGAAAAGAGAAGAGAAGAAUAUGGGAUGUAGUGGAACCUAGUUGCCAAAUUCACUUUCCCCACCUUAACACAUUUAAGGAUUUCCGUUAUGUCUGUUCGGUUCCUUAGUUACCUCUUGUAAUCAAAUUCAUUAUUGUUUUCAGUUUGUAGAACACUGUGGCCAUAGUUUAUUAACAUGAGCCAAUGAGCAGUGAAUUUUAUUCUGUACAAGGGUAUUACUUGGAACAAGUUAUGCAUUUAUCGACGAACUGUUAGCUACAGUAAAUUGGUUUACUUGCUUAAGAAUGGACAUUUAGCUCUUUUGUAGGAGGGUGUGCAUAUUAGAUUAGAUUUUGUUCCAUUGGAACUUCCAGACUGCAAACAAUGCUGACACCACUUCUUAUCAUACACAGUCCAAGGUUAAAGACAUUGAACUGAAAGGCCACUCAGAUAGUGUAGAUCAGUUAUGCUGGGAUCCAAAGCAUCCUGACACAGUUGCCACUGCAGCUGCUGACAAGUCAAUUCGCCUUUGGGAUGCGCGAAGUAAGUAAUACACUUCAUCUUUGAUGGUCAAGGUGCUAAAACUGCCAGUCUAGUUCAGCAUUGUUAAUGACUUGGGGCAUUUACAUUUCUGCCCUUAAACUCGAACCCACUACUCAGAUAUACCCCUAAUUCUUGAAGCUGCUCAAAUCUGUACCUUUUCCAUCAAGGCUCGUUAUAGAAAUACCCUUUCGUGCCGUUUCCGUCCUGUCAAAGGUGCUUGACCGUUUACAGGAUGUUUCCUGGUCAUUUUUGCCCCUCCUUACAAGCAGAUGAGCUCUCUAUGGAUAAGUCACUUACAAGUGGUCCCAUCCCAUGAAAAAGGAAAAAAAAGGGGAAAAUCCCCCUUUGUCUCCUCGGCCAGCCACCCGACCCCUUUCGUCCAGAGCCACCAUGGCUCCUGCUGGCUCCAGUCGUGGUGGUCAGCUCCCAGCGGUGCUGGUAGCAGCAUAGCAUGGCGCUCAGGUGCGCGUAGGCCGUCGACGGUUCGAGUUCUGGUCUCCGUCAAGGCCCUGCCCUCCUCUGCCUCCUCCCAAGUAACCCCCCAUUUGCCAUCGACACGGUGAACCCGCAGCCUCGUCCAUCCCGCAUCCACCUUGAGUACGUCUUCGGUCGCUGCUGUCUCCUGCAUACCGGGAGGCAUCGACAACGGCACGGGCGUGGCCUCCUGCAAGCACGUCUUGGCGCUCCCAUGUCCGGUUCAUGCCGCUGCGGCCGUCGCGUCUCGUUCCCACGACCAAUGCCCUUGAUAUGAUGCAUGACCUUGCCUUCUAGCCUCUUGUUGCUGCUAUCAGCUGUCUGGUAGAAGGAAUCGAUGUGGGAUGGUCGGAAUCAACGCCAUGCUCAUCGUCUUCCUCGCCUCCGGCAUUGGUCCGUCGCGCGGUGCCGCGGAGCCUUCACUCCGAUGCGUACCACCGUUCCCGAGCAAGUAUUCUUCAUCGAGGGGAGCCUCUGGCCCUCCACAGACUCUUCCCUCUCCCACUCAUGCCAUCUAUCGCUGACACAUGUGCAAACAACGUCCAGAGCUUGCUGCCACCAGCGAAGUUUGUCAUUGUCGUGGCAAGAGUCGUUCCCAAACCCAGAGGCUGUGUCCAUUAGCUUUGCCAUACCUUGUAGAGCCUUCCCUCUAAAGGAAUUUGAUCGAGUUGACGUGAAUCGUUGACAUGGCCGUCCACCGCACUAUCGAUCUUCUCCUUGGCUGAACCCUGGCGAUUUCCCUCGGGUUCUUCAGCUCUGCGAAGACUUCCUGAGGCCGCUUCUGCCAUCCCCUUUGAGCCUGGUGUCCUCAAGCAUGCGAGUGAUCUGGUGAUGGCCACCUCGCGGUGUGCGGCCAGUUCGUGCAGCAGCCACGCAGCUGCUGGUCUGUGCUCCGGUCAUGCCAUCGUCUGAGGUGUGGUGCUGCUGCGCGCCUGCGCCGCGCCGCACCGGAGGUGACGGGCGGCGUUGCUGGCCGGAGAGAGAGCGGCGCACCGGAUGGUCUGGCUUNNNNNNNNNNNNNNNNNNNNNNNNNNNNNNNNNNNNNNNNNNNNNNNNNNNNNNNNNNNNNNNNNNNNNNNNNNNNNNNNNNNNNNNNNNNNNNNNNNNNNNNNNNNNNNNNNNNNNNNNNNNNNNNNNNNNNNNNNNNNNNNNNNNNNNNNNNNNNNNNNNNNNNNNNNNNNNNNNNNNNNNNNNNNNNNNNNNNNNNNNNNNNNNNNNNNNNNNNNNNNNNNNNNNNNNNNNNNNNNNNNNNNNNNNNNNNNNNNNNNNNNNNNNNNNNNNNNNNNNNNNNNNNNNNNNNNNNNNNNNNNCGAGAAAGUUUUUACCUUUUUUUCCUUUUCAUUCCUAGAGGGCCCUACCUGUAAGGAAACAUCCUGUAGACGGUCAAACCCCCUUGACUGGUUGGAAACGGCACAGAACAGUAUUUCUACAAGGAGCCUUGACGGAAGAAGGGCAGAUUUGAGCAGCCUCGAGAAUUAGGGGUAUAUCUGAUUAUGGGUUUGAGCAGAAACAUAAAUGUCGUUAAUUAAUUUUGCAUAUUUUGUUAUGAAUUUGGUGUUAUCAGACGAGAGUUCUUAUGUGGGAAUUUGACGUGAAGUUAGUAUCAUUGUACUCAGUAUUCUGCAUAGAUGAUACAUUUUGUUUCAGUCUCUUCUUACCAUGUUCUGUGAUGGUGGUAGUUUACCUUUUUGUCAGGUUAUAUUUACUAAUCCAGUUUGUCUUUAACUAGUUUAUUUAUGUUUUUCUUUUCAGGUGGGAAAUGCCAAGUUGUUGAACUCAGUGGAGAAAACAUCAACAUCACAUACAAACAUGAUGGCACUCACAUAGCUGUUGGAAAUAAGGUUUACAAUAACAGAACAUGGGUACAUUAGAUUGUAAUAUAUUUUUGGUGCCUAGCUGUUUGUCUAGCAUAUUGAUUUGAAGGAAUGGGACAUUCAUUCAUGUUCAACAUUGUCUUCAUGACGCUUGUGUUUCUUCAUCUCCUUUGGUUUUCUUCUGAUAGUAUAUUGAAUUACUGAUAGCAUAUUGGUUUAUUGCCCUUAUUUCAAAAAUAGAAAAAAUAUCCUGAUAUGUUUGUGUUACGCGCCAUCAUGGUGUGACCCAGCUAACAUAACCCUUGCUAUCUGUCUACCUUUGUUAUUGUGCUGCACUCUUUUCCUUCAGUCUAUACCUUGUGUGAGUUUGCUAAGGUUUAGAUCUUCUGUCGACCUAAUUACUAUGCAACAAAUGAAAUCAUAUCAUGCAUAGAAGUAUGUGGCCGUAUUGUCAUAUAUGUGUUUUUGAGAAAAUGCUGGAUCACCGUAUCAUGUACCAGUAUUCAUGCAAUGUAGAUUGGUAAUAAUGCACCUGGAGAUGUACGCAUCUGGUUAGUAUCUAUCAAUUAGAUGGAAGUCUUGGCAUUUUUCUUGCUUAGUUUCUUCAGUAUGACAAGUGAUAUGUAAAGUUCAUGUAGUAUCGAAAUCAAACUCUUUUUGAGUGUCAUGUAAGUUAGCAUGUUUCCUGAAAAUGUACAUGAUAUGCAUUUACUUUACGAGUUACUAGUUCGUUCAGCUAUAAUAACAGCUGCUGCUAAUGAUCUGUAGGAGGAUGAGCUAACCAUAGUGGAUGUUCGGAAGCUAAAACCCGUCCACAAACAGAAGUUCCCUUACGAGGUACUUAACAAAUGAAGUUUGGACACUGGAAACACCCUUUAGCAGUUCUUUUCUGUUCUAAAUCCAGCUAUGUUUUGGGGUACCCGUGCAUAUCGAUGUGAUAAGAAAUAUAGUGAGCCACAUGUUCAUUUGUCUUGUCGUAGACCAAAAAGUUGUGCACUGAUGUUUAUUUUUCGGGGGGAAAACAGUAAGGAUACCUACUGAUACUCUGAAUGCACAAUGAUAUAUGAUACCAACCAGCUGAAUCUAUAUAAUGCAUUUACUGUACUACUGAUGUUCACGCCUUGCUAAACUUUAUAUUGUCAAUUUCCUGCAUUUCUUGUUUUUCGUGACUUGUGGCGUGUGUGUUUCUUAUUAAAUGUCUGAAGUGAAUUCUUGAUUUGUCCCCCAGAUUAAUGAGAUUGCAUGGAAUAAAACUGGAGAUUUAUUCUUCAUAACUACUGGGCUUGGUAAGAUGCUAAGAUGUAUUUUCCUCUUAAUUAUGAAUAUUUAAGCUCCUCAAUUGUGAAAAUGGAACAAGGAGCCUUGAUGUUGUCAGAUGUCAGGUGGCAGGAUCACAUAAGUUGAUGUUAAUGCUGCUGCCCGGUUUUGUUCUUUAUGUAGGAUUUGUUGAGGUGGUCAACUAUCCUUCCCUUGAUGUUGUCUGCAAAUUAAAUGCCCAUACAGCAGGGUGCUAUUGCAUAGCAAUGGAUCCCCUUGACAGGUGAGAAAAUUCUUUGUUCAGUUUGUUGUUUCAGUUAUUUGCGCUGAACAUGUUUUAAACAUGGAACGGUAGGGGAGAACCCUAAGGAUUAUUUGAAUUACAAAUAUAUAGUAUUUACUUACGAAGGACCAACCGUAUUUACUAAAAAAUACAUAAAAAGGCUCGAGCUUGCGAUUCGUUUUUACUCUGGAUCUAGUUGAUUUGCUGUAUUUUAGUUCCUUACACUAGUUACUGGGUUGCUAGAUAUGCUAUUUGAGUUAACACUAAAGCUAUAUUCUGACUUUUCGUAAGAGCUAUUGAAAUUGUAUCCUAGCUUCAUCUUUAGAGAGAAAUCGUAUCCAAACUACCUGCAGUUGAGUAAAUACCUAUUACUUAUAGGUAACUCCAUAGGUGAUUUAUGAAGAGGAUUUCUGAGAAACUGGUUUAGGGAAACACGUAUGGGCUCAGGAAAGGGAUCCCCCGAAUAUUGGAUAGCCGUUUGUAAACCAGGUCGUAAACUUUAUAUAUACUGGGAAUAUAUCCCGUGGCCUAUGGAAACCAUUGGUUUAGUGGAAGAAUGAAAACCAUGAUUAGGAUGUUGAUCCUCUCCACACACUUUGCUCAAUUACUAAAAAGAGAGGAAAUGCAUUAUCAUGGAAUUUUGCAGAGAACUCCUCGUAUGCUCUCGUCAUGGGUAACUUCCCCAGAAUGUGUUGCUUUUCUCAAAAAGAUGUUAAUUAGGCACUCUUAUUUGUCAUAACUAGGCAAAGAUAUACUAACUGGCCACAGGUAACCUGCUACAUGUCCACCCUUGCAGGGGUUUCAUAGGUUAUCCUCCCAUAUAUAUCUACAAUGCCGGAUUCAGAGUUAAUUUAGAAAAUUAAAAUUCACCACACGGUCCAAAUUCUUUUCUCCGCAACUAUACAAUGAUCACCAAGCGUUUUUUGUUUGUUUGUUUGAAACUGACUGUAAACUUUUUUUUGCGGGAAGGAACUGAUUAUAAAUUAAGAGCCUGAACAAACUAAUCAUGUGGAGAAGUAGCAAGUUGUGCUCCACAAGUACAAAUUGUAUUAGUGUGUUAUGUUUUGAUGUCAACAUCCAGGUAGAGUACAAUUGUUUUGAUGGUCACACUUACAGAAUGUUUUGAUGUCAGGUAUUUUGCUGUUGGAAGUGCAGAUUCACUUGUCAGUCUUUGGAAUGUCAAAGAGCUGCUAUGCAUUAAAACCUUCACAAAACUUGAGUACGUCUUUAUCUACUAUAUUGAACUUCUUUAGAUUACUAUCAUAGAAAUAGCUUCAGAUGCUUUUUGUUUGAAUUAGCCGCAGUUAGGGCCAACAAGUUUUCUCUCAAUGUAACAGUACAUAUUUGAUAUACCAUGGGCAUGAUGUUCACAUUGAAAUUAGUAAACGAUUUGUGCAUAUCUGUGUUAUUUCUAGGGGUGCAAGCGGCAUCCCGCUUCAUCGCGCAAAACUCAUUGGUUAGUUCAUAGUUUGCUCAUCACUUGCCUAAAGUUUGCAGACAAAAAAAAAAUUGUACUAUAGUAUUGUCUGCUAGCCCGCCCCGCUUGCAUCCCUAGUUAUUACUAUUUCCCAUGGCCUUCCCACCAAAGCCCGGCUGGCAACGGCAAUGUCGACAUUCAGGAUGUUUGUAAUCUUUUCAGUUACUUUGAUUUACUAUUUUAAUUAAUUUUAUAUUGGAUAAUACGACUACAAACAGCUCAUAAUGUUUCUUAUUAAGAAGAAUAGGGUAUGGGCUUGACUAAUCUCAUAUCACUGACUUUUGCCUCCAAACAUAAUUAGAAAGAGGGAUUGAACUAAAUCAUGGUUAGCUGAAUUGUGAUCAUUGGAAAAAACAUUCAAAGGUUAAUCUGAGUAUGACCGGAGUAACCCUAUGCGUACCAAUUUCAGGUGGCCUGUCAGAACAGUUAGCUUCAAUCACACUGGAGAAUUUAUUGCAUAUGCCAGUGAAGAUCCUUUCAUUGACAUUGUAAGUGAUCACGAACGUAGUGCAAUUUCUUAUCUAUCCGAGACUAACUGUUAUGAAAGAGUAGUUAUUUUACAAUUUUUUUCUUUCAUCAGGCCAAUAUUCAGACUGGACGAUCAAUUCAUCAGAUUCCAUGUAAAGCAGCUAUGAAUAGUGUUGAAUGGAAUCCUAAAUACAACCUCCUGGCUUAUGCAGGAGAUGACAAGAAUAAGUACCAGGCUGAUGAUGGUAUGGUGGUCGCAGUUACUCAUUUUAGUGCUGUCGAAUGAAAUAAAACGCAUAAUUUUGCUUGAACCUCUUGCUCAAUAGUUUCUGAAAAACCACAAGCACGUUAUAACAUCCCAAACAACGGAAUCUUUGCCAUUAUCUUUUCUGUUAAGAACAUCCAUUUAUGGUAAAACUAAUAUUCUUCCCUCUGUUACUUCUUUUUUCCUGUUGCCCAUUGUUUCCCGCUGCUUCUACUAUCCUGCAUCCAAGUACGUGAGUGGACAUGACGGGAAAAAUUAAGAUUCCAUUUUCUGCAUGCUAUGUUCUCAGUGUUUGGAUUUUGUAAUGCAGUUGAGGAGGUUUGUAAUGUUGUCCGUGGGAAUGUCGAUGUUUCAGGAACCAUCGAGCAAAUUUCCUCCCCGUCGAUUUCAUUAACUCCUGAACUUAAAAAAAACUAUUACCUUCAGAUGCAUUUAUUUCACUUCAUAACAAUGUAGCUUUGUGAUUGCUCAAUUCUUCAUCUUAAAAAAACAAGGUGACGUAGAAAUGCAGCAGCACUAACGUUUAUCGUCAUUCAUUUUUACAGGUGUUUUCCGAAUAUUUGGUUUUGAAAGCACAUAAUCUGAUGCGGACCGGAUUAUCACCAGCAAGUCGUCUCUCUGUAGAUUCAGUUAUCUGGCCUUACAAAUGUAACUCCAUUUUUUUGUCGGCUUGAAUGAGGUGUUUGGUUUGAGGGACUGGAUGAUGAAUGCACCCCUGUUUGGUUUGAGGUAUAGACUGUGCAUGCACUAAGCUAGUUCUAAAUGAUGGAUUAGGUAAUUUGACCAAAUUUAAGAGAUUAUCCGGCGAUGGACCGAGCUGUGAUGGUCAAGGUGAUUUUCUCAAACCAAACAUCCCAGAACCAAACAUUGUUGUUGUAUUGUACCAUAUGUGAUUACUAGAGAACAACCUGGCAUUGUAUCUUAUCCAACAGAACAUUACUGAAAAAAUAUUAAAGUAAAAUAGAUCAAAUUUUGUACAAGGUUUGUACUCCCUCGGUUCCAAUUACUUCAAGUUCUAC